rnacentral:lncRNA from 1 species
AUAAUCUGUCACUACUUGGGUUUGGGAUUGCGAAAAAAUAACGUUAAGCGGUAAAAAAGUACGAUUGAAAAAUACUGUAUUUCGUAUAUCGUAAUGAAUCGGUUACGAUAUAUUUUUUACGGUCCCACCGGAAAAAACAGAGACAUAGCCUUGUAUAUUUUUAUCUCAACUCUAUUUUAUCUAAUAACGUCAGAUAAGUCUCAAUACCACACUAAUUUUAAAGCACAAUGAAUAAUAAAUGAGUUUUUUUACACGAACGAGGGGCCCACAAGUCCUUUUCAAUUAACAAACUUUUAAUUAACUCCUUAAAAAAAAGAAAAUGAAAAAGAGUGGUCCCACCCCCCUUUUUUUUUUUUUUUUCUUUUCUUUUUUGGAAGCUCAUAGAAAUAUUAGGAAACAGAAUCUUUGUAGCUAUUGGAAGUAGUUAAGGGUCGAUUUCAUGAACAGGAACAGCACUGUGCGUCAGAUGAGAAUCCAACGGUGGGGACAUCUCUUUGGGUAAUUAGUUAAUCCCACUAAAUUUAAUUUUCAAGCCAUACGAGAUUAUGCACUUUUAAUAAGAUUUUGAUUUAGUGUCUAAAUUUUUAAAAGCGUUUUAUUUUAGUUUUUGCCUUUAAGUUAAAUUCACAAUUUUUUUAAAAAUUUUCUCAUAUUUGAAGUCUAAAAUUUUAAUUUAGAAGCUACUAAUAUCGAAGUUAAAAGAAACUUGGUUGAAAGUUCAGGGGACUAAUGGUGUGAUUUAUUCUUAUUAUAUUUAUGCGAAGAAUCUGAUACAGAAUAGACCUUCCCACUUCAUAUAUUAUAAAUUAGUAAGCAAUCAAAUUUCGUAUGAAACUUUUUGGAUGCAUCAUGAGCAACUUUUUGGAGCGUGGGGUGGCUUCAGUUUCUCGUGAAAGUGUACCACUGUGUAUGGAUUGGUUCUGAGUCCCCACCACAUUGCAUUGUUUGCCAUCUGGUAGAUCAUUGUCACUUAUCUUAAGGUCGGGAUUCGAGCCUCUGUGUAUAAAACAGGGAUAACUUAUCUUAAGGUUGGGAUUUGAGCCUCUGUGCAUAAAUUAGGGGCCUGUUUGAUUUUAUGGAUCUUGGAGGUUGAACUCGUCACUUGGAUAAAUUCAUAGACGUUGGUGUUUAUUUUGACAUUUUUGUUAUUUGUUUCGUUUAUCUCUUUUAUAAAUAAAUUUAGCCGGAAAUAAAAAGCAACUAGGUUUCGAAUUUAGGAGCUCGGGUACCAACUGCCAAGUCUUUUACCACUUGCGCUAACGGCGGUUAGUGUUUGUUUCGACAUUGAAGUUGUAAAAUCAUCUGAACUCUCAAUCACAAUUGUACGGAUGGAUAUCGGUCCUUUCUCUUCAACAUUUAUUAUGGGCUGCAUCAGUGGGCCCAAAUUAAAGUUGCCUUGCUUUGGUGAUUAUUGGGCCAGGCCUACUGGAGCUUUUGCCGUAAAAUGGUUUUUUUUUUUUUUUUCUUUCAUCUAUCCACAAACCAUUUAUUGAAUUUUCAAUCGAGGACAAUUUAUAACAUGAAAAGGACUAGUAACAAAUAUUUAUGCGAGGUAAUAAUACCUUUGAGAUGGAGCCCAUUUGGUUCACCGUUUGAUUGCUACAUAUAUAUAUAAAAUCCAUGUUAAUAUUUAGCAUAUUGUUUGAUACUAUAAAUUGAACUAUAGUAAAGCAGUGAAAACUCUGCAGCAAGUUAUGUAGAUACUGCAAUAACACACUUUAGGACGCAUUUGGAUUGAUGUAAUUGCAAUUCCGUCGUAUUUGAAGCUUUGUAAGAGUAGUAAAAGCUUUUGCUGUUGGCGGAGUUCAUGUUUCUACUCUUACUAAAUCUUAUUUAUGGCCGACCGCAAUUAUGUCGAUCCAAACACCCCCUUAGACACUGCGAGCACGCCGUCACGGCGAGGCGUUCUUCGACGUGAAAGCCGGUGGGAUGCCGGGAAACAGAGGGCUCGGCGGGAACGGGAACGGGAAUGGAGGGAGCUGAAAAGCUGGCGGCGGCGGCGGCGGAGUCAGGAACGGCAACGGUGGCAAGUUCACGAACGGCGGGGGCGACGGCUGGAAAGGAAGCGGCGGCAGAACCGACGGUGGAGGCUGCAACGGGUUCGGGGGCAGGAACGACGGCGGCGAUGGCAGGAAGGGGAAGUUCGGCGUCGGGAAGAAGAAUGCCGGCUGCUCGGCAUUCUGUUCGGACUCCGGAGAGGAUCUGUCACGUCGUCGGUCACAGAAUUCCGGCCGUUGCAAUGGCUUGAAGGCGAAGAUCCCGGCCGAGAGCACGCGGACGUCAGCCGCCUGCCACCGCGAUUUGAACCGGUGGAGGAGCAAUGCAGCAGUUGAUGGUGCCGCGCAGAAAGGGUCGCUGCUCCGGAUCAGGUUCACCGAGCAGGGCCGGACCGACUUGACGUGCUUGGUUACUUCAGCUGGGAGGCGGAUUCUGAACACGCCGCGCCGGUCGGUCAAGACUUCUUUUCUGAAGCUCGGCCUUGCGGACUCGUCCCGGCGGCAUUCGAUUGCAACCGUAGCACCUGCAGCAGUUGAAAUUACGUACCAAUUCGUAUCUUAUUUCGUGAGACAGAGUGGCGCGACGAAAAUAGAAGAUCUACGUAAAAAUCGCGAAAAAGUUCGGCGAUCAAUAUUUGCGCAACCUGAGAUGAAUCUGCUGGACUCGGAGAGCUUUCGGAGGAAGCAGGUGUCGCAGAAAACGGCCCCAACCACCACUGCAGGUGCGAAGUGCUUCUUCCUUACGCGGUGAUGAGCAGCAGAGGAACAAAAGAAGAUGCAGCAGUACAGCAGGAUAACUGCUAAGCAGUGUGCAGUUACUUUAGUACCCAUCAUUGAAACACACUGGACCAUGCAACGUGCACAUAGACACAAUACAUGCUUCAGUAUUUAUAAUGAGUGUGUAGCAAAUUAAAUAAAAAGAUGAAAUGCAUGAGAAUAUGGAUUUAGUUACAGUUAUUUGAUUCUGAGUACUUUUAGUUGCAGCACAUGAACAUUUAAAGCUCCAUUUAUGUCAAUCAUACGGAGAGAAAUACAACACCCAACUGCGCGCGAAGAAGAGGAGUGAAUGAUCUAGCUAGUAGGCACUAGAUUCAAAUUAUUAAGAUUAUUUUUCGAUCAUUUCGAAUGAUCUUUUAGAUAAUAUGGUUACAGAGUCAGUCCUAAGAUUUUUUUUUUUUUUCCGCAAGGAAUAUUUUCAAACCAUUUUUUGUUAGAACGAUCUUCUGGAUUAACACAAAUUACGUUUUUAGCGUGCAAAGAAACAGAAUUUAUACAAGUAAAUUUAUAAAAGAAAAUUAAAAAUCUUCACCCAAAAGGAGGAGGAGAGAAUGGUGAGAAGUGCUUGGCCUCUAUGUGCUCCUGGCCUUCGUGUUGUGUGUGGGCAAUUGAGGAUGAGGAUAGGGAUAAGGUUCUCAUGGGUGCUUAUCUAGUUUAUAUAUUUUGUUGGAUUUGUAUGUGUUUUUUUGCUUGGACUAUUCAUUUUAUUGUAUUUGUCAAAUUUUGAUUUGUUUAUGAUUAUAUGGGGCCAUUAAUCAUAACUUCUAUUUUUUGAAAUUUAAAAUUAUUUACUAAAAUAACUUUACUACUUCUUUUGCAUCGAAUUAGAAGGAAAAAAAAAGAAAGAAAAACUUAUUCAAUUAUUUGAAAACUCUAGUAUCUGGGCUUGUGAUAGUGCUGUGUGAAAGAGUGAUGAAUAUAAACAGUAAGCCCCACAAUUCUCUGACAACUUUAGCUUUUCAAAAUAGGUAUGGCUUUAUGAUUAAGGAGAUGAAUUUAGGCUUAUGAUAAUUCAUUGCACAUGAUCUUCUAUUCAUUCUUUGGACAAAUUUGACUAUGACAGAGCUCAUUUUGUUGGUAUAAAACAAGAUAAAGAGUCAGUGUUGAUGUGAUCUUCAAUGGAUUUUCCUAAGUUUGGGUUCACGGGUUAGGGAGUCAAAAAGAGUCACACCAACUUCACAAGUUUGUGGUGAUGUUUGUUGAUAAGAUUAUCUACUACUUGAAGCCAUUUAUGGUGAGAAAUAGCCUCUUUUUUCUAUUUACUUUGGUAAUUGCAAGCAUUCCAAUCAUUUGUUGGAUAAAAUUGAAGGUUCAGUCGAUGAGAAUCCGACUCACGAGAAUGACGCACUAAUAAAAUAAAACUUGACUGUUCAGUAUUAGUCGUUCAUCACUUUUUUUCAUUUGCAUUAUGAUUCAGAAUCUGUUCAAUAUAUGUGACAGCAUCUGCAAUUCACUUCAUUUAAGAAGUGAUGAACUACUGAUAUUGAAGCAGUGCAACAAUACAAUCAUUGCUCGAGUCUAAUUAAUUGAAUAAUAUGCAUUAACCAAUCUGAUCAUGUAAACACAAUAAGGUUUAUCAAGUGUGAAAAAAUAUAUCAUUGCAGACAAUUUUGACUGCACUCAAUGCUACAGUCUUUCUUCACUUCAUGCCGAAAUAUAGAUCAGAAAAAAUGACACAAUAACUUCAGUGAAUCAACUUCGAAUAUCAGAUUCCUCUUGAUCAGCUUCUGAGAAGCUGAAGAAAAAUGUUAUUAACCUGUCUGAUUAUCUGUUUUACAAUCUCUGUACACAUUGUUUGACCAAAAUCCAAAAUUUGAGGUCCAAAUGUGUGUAAAUAAGGCAAAAAUUAUACUGUUUCUUCGAAAAUUGAAACAUACCAAUACAUGCUGAUGAUAUUUUCAUGCUUUCUCCGGUAUGAAAUCACUUCUCUUUCACAGAUUAGCGAAAUGGUAAUCUUUUAAUUAUCGAUACAACCUCUAACCAAUGGAUGUGUGAAAUCGACGUACUGGUCCCAUAAAUGCUUGUACCUGGUAAUGGCUAACUUCAGCCAGGGCUUCAUGUUUCCACUGUAAUGCACCACUGCUGCAGUUUCAAUUAACCUCUCAUCAAUGUCCACAUCAAACCCAAGGCCCAAUACAUGCCAUCGUCGAUCAAGUGGCUCCAUUACCCCGUAAAAUGCAAGAAGACCCGGUGGAAGUGCUCCUUUCUUCCAAAUCAUGUGGUCCACAUUUUGGUCCUCCCAGUAUUGGUACUUUGCCGUCACGUUUGCCUUUCUCCAGGCAAUUAGAUCAAGUAUGUUCAUCCCGAACGCCCACCCGCAAGAUUGCGGGUCGAAUUUAGAGCUAAUUAGUGGGUUAGAGAAAUUGAGAUAUUUGUAGAACCUGCGAAAUGAUUCGAGGCAAGUCUCGACCGCUCCGAUCACGUUGCCAUGUAAUUCUAUGGAGAAAAGAGGGGUCAGAUCCUUCUGCACCACAACAUCAUCAUCGAGAAGAACCACCUUUUCUAAACUUGGGUGUAUUUGGGGAAUAUAGAACAGCAAGUAGUUCAGCGAAGAAACAAACUUUGCAUUAAACCAAGAGAACUCUUCUAUACUUCGGACUUCAACGGUGCACCCUUUGUAGUCGUUUAAUAGAAACCAAGAGGUCAUUGCCCAGUAAUUGAUCUUGUUCGUGACCACAUGAAAAACGAGCUGCUGAGGGUGGUCGGCACUGGAGACCGUAGAGUUUACGACGACUGAAGUUGCAAUUAUGUUAUCAGAAAAUAUACAGAAGUGGUACAAAUUAUUGUCCACAAGCCUAGGUGACUUCCUAUACUCAUUUUUGUGUCUUCUAAUUGUUGGGUUUUGGAACCAUUCUUCCGUGAGUUUCAUAUUCAAACAGUGAAGGCUUUUGGGCAAAGAAGCUUCUUCAGAAGCCAAUCGACCAAACUCCGUGCUUUGAACCACCGCGGCCUUUGCACGCUCCUCGAGGGCGAGGGCGUGGUUCUUUAAUGUUGUUAUCGUAGUGCUGAUAUCAUAAUGGCAGUCCUGGGCUUUGUAUAUAAGCCGUGAGAGCCGAGUUACUAAAGGACGAGCUUCUUCUAGCAUGAUGAGCUUCCCUGAAACAGCUGCUUGAGAAAGCAGUUUCUGGUGGUUUCUAACCUGCGAACUGAGCUCCCAUGCAAGCUGAAGAUUGUUGUGCUCCUUCGCGAUGAUUAUGUAAGCCUUAGCUAGCGUCACCUGAUCGACCAACUGCCUGGCAAAGGAUGUGCUGCUCAAUAGCUCAUGCGUAAAAUUAAAGCUCUCAUUAGGGGGUUCUUCAAUCGCUAGGCUCUUAUCCUACAAAUUUUAGAAACGUGCGCAUCUUAGAUGACUUGAAAAGGAAUCACAUAUGAAAAAAUCAUGGAAUUCAUAGAAUGAUCAAUGAACUUAUGCUUCAAUAUGUUGAAAACGAAAAGAGAAAGUUCCAUUAAAAAGUAGCUAGACCUUCGCUCCAACUUUAACCUGGUAGUUUGGAAUAACUAAUAAAAGAGAAAAACAGUUGUAGUAACAUACAAGUUUCUGACCAAUGAAAGAUGGAGAAUAAAUGACAUAAACUUUCAAAAAAUCAUUUCAGUUCAUCCCUGUGAUUAGUUUCAGAAUUUUGGUAAAAACAAAAACUUCAUAUGCUAAAAUUCCACUUCUAAAGAGUCCUCUUUUUUCUUGUUCCUAAACAGAUUCAUCAUUAGAGGCGAAUAUGGGUCUUAUCCUACUUCCUAUAUGUCGGUCGGUAACAAGUGGUUGGAUAUUGGCAUAGCACUUCAUCAGGCUCUAUUACACAGACAGUGUAAAAAGGAUUAGAUUCCAUUUUCUUUUAGUAAGGACUAAGGAGAUAAAGACACUUUUUUCCAACCAUAUAAAGUCUAAAUAUAUAACUGUUCCUCAUUAGACAAACUCUUGAAACAAACUAGCUGUAGAAAGACCAAAGAACCUGAUAGGUCAUUGAAAGUCACAUGAUUCCACACAUUGCAGGGCUCCACUGGUUUACUUGUAGCAUAUCAUGCUUUUCUUUUGAUGGAAAGUGCCUUUUCCCCAGCAUUUACCAAUGAAAGUGAAUUAAAAGAAUCUUUCCAACAACAUCUUUAAAAUCAAAGUAAAUUAGGAAGCAGUCACAUGCCAACUCCUGGAAAUUUCUACCAACUUGACUUGACUUCGUAACAGUAAUAUGGACCCAUUACCAACUCCUACCACAAUACAAGAAUUAUUUGGUUGCAUAUAGUUACAACUGUACUGUAAUACGAUGUUCCGUUUAGCGCAUUUGAAUUCAACUACUGAAUCGGUCAGAAUUACACCCAAAUUGAUCGUAGUUUUAACUUAAGUUGGAAAAUAUUUUUGACCUAAAUGGGUGUAAAUCUCGCCAUUAUAUAUACAAAGUAAUAAAAUUGUAUAAAUAGACUGUUUUAUAUUAUAUUCAACCAAACAAGAUGCACACAAUACCGAUGUUAAACCUCUUCAGUUCCAAGAGGUCUAUCAGUACAGGUGACAUGAUUCACUAAUCACAAGCACACAAAUCAAAACUAACUGAGAGAAAACAGUAAACCAACUUGGUAUUUUCAUCAAAUCAAGAACAAAUUUAACCAACUGUUGGAUCCAGAUAUUACCUUUUUGGGUUCCUCGAUCCGUUCCUGAUGAUGAUAAUGGUGCAGAGCAAAGAGAACUGCUCCCGCGAAGGCGAAGAUCCCGAGGAGCCAGGACACCAAGAGAGAGCGCCUCCUCCUCUGCGGUCGCCGGAGCUCCGCCGCCCUCCGCCGCAUGCCGCCGCCGGAGCUCCGCCUCCUCGGAUUGUGUGCACUAAAUCCGCUAUGUAGGAUCCCCAAGGCGCUACCUUUCUCACAAAUUCGGAAAGAGGCGGCCUCAAAACCCAAAACCCGUGUCGCAAUUUAGUCGAAAAAGGUGGGGGGGGUUUAAGUAAAAUUUGGAUCGGAUUGGAGGUGAAAAUGAAGGGCUUUGACUUUUCGAAAUUGGGGUAUCAAAUGGUGUGCUAUGAAUGAUUGAUAGCAUACAUGAAUGGUUUUGUAUUGUGAUUUAACUAAUAAUAAUAAUAAGUUGGCGUAAUCAAGUUUACAUUUUGGAGAUGGUUUUGUAGAAAUGUGGAAAAAGUUUUGGAUUGUUGACAAGUAAUUAAGAAAAAGGACACUGCUUUUGGUUGUUUGCUGCUAAAUUUGCAGCUUUUUCUUCCUCUUUUUGCAUUUUUUUGGAUAGAAAGUCCGCAACAUCUAUCAGACAAAUUUGGGCCUGACUAGCAAAGAUCUUUGUCUCACCAUCCAUAUUUUUUCUGAUAUUUUUAAUAUUUAUUUUUAACAUUUUUUUCACAUCUAAACUAAAUUUUUUUUAUAAGACUAAAACAUGAAUUUGAAUAAUAAGAGAAAAAUAAUGUUAGAAAUCUAACCGAACUCGAACUCAAAAUCCGAUACGUUGAUCUCAUGUUAAAUAAUACGAAGUAAUCAUUUAUCCCUAAAAUAUUAAAAAUAUUAUAAAAUAUUAUUAUUUGAUAAUUUAAGUUUUUGAAGAACAAUAAUUGUUUCAUAUUAUUUAACAUAACAUUAAGAAACAGUAUUUUUAAUAUUUAUAUUCAAUAUUUUGGUAUUUAUUUGGGCAAAAAAGAAUGAUAUAAACAAAUCAUGUUUUAUAGACACAAAUCAAAUUUAUUAAAUAUAAUUUAAUUCAAUAUAGAAAUAAUAAAUAAAUCCAAUAAAAAUUUAUUAGAAAUAUACUAUUUUGUUAGUUUAGUUUAAAAUCUAAUUUUUAACACUAUCUUGAAUUAAUACUGAGAUUUGUCCCUAUAUUUCUCCUUAGAAUAAGGAAUAUUAGUGCUUGUUUGACUCCACUGUUUCAUUUUUUGAGAGAAAAUCCGUACGUUGUUUUAUUAGCAAAUUACAAGUACAUCAAAUAUGACAAAAGAGUUAGACAAUAGACGAAUAUAAUCGUAAAGUUGCAUUGGCAACAUUACGAGUGCAUCUGUAUUUUGAUCUCUUCUAACAUAGGAAAUAGUAAUAUUUAGAUACAAUCGCAAUAAAUUUCUACACUCAUUAAUGAGAUAAGCGAGAGUCUAAUUUGACAGUGUAUUAGUAGAAAGAAUAGAAAAAACCUCAUUCCAAGCAUUACUAUAAAUUAUAAUACUAAAGGCUGGUCAUGAGCUAACAAUUUGAAGAGCUAAUAAGUUAGCAUAUAUAUAAUAUUUUAAAAGCUGCCGAAAGGAAUAUUAUAUGCUAUCUUGUUUGACUCCACUGUUAGAUGCAACGGCAUUGGAGAAUUAUUGUAAUGUAUCAAGGAAAGAAAAUAGUUAUUGAAUAUUAUUGUAUAUUUGUAACAGAAUAACUGUAAAUAAUUAAAAACUUUUUGGCAAGUUUACUAUCACAGCUCCACUAUUGCUAUGUAAUAUUGAAAUGACUAAACUAAUCAUCUCAAAUGCAAGUGGAAAAAGGCUUUUUUUUUUUUUUAGAGAAAGGUAGCGCGCUACCCGCUUCAUUUAGAAAGUAAGUGAAUUAAGCUACAUGGGUGAGGCAACAAGGCCUCGACGAGGGACGGACGAAAAAAAAAAAAAAAAAAAAGAAGUUCGAUCUUCGUUGGACUAAGUUUCCUCCACAGGUCCGUCAACUGUUUAAUCUUAUAAAUACCGGCUAUUGGGUUGUUCUGGGUCGCCGUAAAAAUCGCUCUGUUCCUGGAAUCCCAAGAGACCCACCAGCAGGCUAUCAGACCUAUGAGACUGGUUGAGGUAGAUUGUGAUCUCAAGUGGAAAAAGACUUGAUAGCUAGUACCUGAGGUUUCAAUUUCAAUGUAUGCCUAGUUGUUUUAUAUUUUCAACUAGAUUAAGAUCUUGUCAUCUGUAAAUUAUUUUGAAAUAAGACUCAGAAGUUAAUCCUUUUCUUUUAUUAUGAGUAAGUUGAGUUAAUGAUUUUGCUAACUAGAGAGUGAGUCAAUCAAGUUCUUGUCAAUUUCUAAUAAAAUACAAAAAAUUAGAAAUUCAUGACACUCUACUUUUUGAGAUUUUCUUCUAUUUUUCUCUUGGAAUUAAAGAAGGAAAACAUUUUUUUAUUUUUUUGUUUUUUUGGAGGAUAAAAGAAGGGAUAGCAUUUGCUGGUGAUGGAGAAAUGAUUAAAGUUUAAGGUACUUCGCUUUGUAGAUUCCAACUAGAAGAGUAUGAAAGGAACAAAGUGAAGCUUUUGAUUUGUAGUAACUUUAGUUCCUUUGGCCAUUGAAACAGCUAGAUCACUGUCAAAUAAUUCACACUUUGUGUUCCAUCACAAAAGGCACAUAUGCUUGCUGAAAAUAAUUCAUGCAAUUUUAGAUUUUUUUUUUAAUUGAGAAAUUUCUUUUAAAAAAGCUUUCUCAAAUUGCAUGAAGAAUUAUUUUCAUCAAGAAAUAGUGUCUUUGUAAUGUAGUUCUUUUUUUCUUUUUUUUUUUUGGUUUUAAAGCCUAGGGCCUAUCUUAAAUUCAGACCAACAAAUUAACUGUUAUCGAACAUCUUACUCCGAAUAAAAUCUUUUAUCGAACACUUCAUGUUUAGUUCAUGGGGUAUUAAUAUAGAAUUACAAAACUACAAAUGAUUUAAUCAAUAAAACUUGUAAAUACAAUCUUCAUCUCAGCCAAAUUUUUCAUAGUUAAAAAAAAAAAAAAAAGCUCAAGGGAGAACUCAGAAAUUACCCUUCUCACACAUUUCGGUUUAGUUUGAUUUUCUUUUACUUUUUUCUCAUGGUUUUGUUAUAUUUGCAUACCAACUAUAGAAGAACUUCACCUCCUGUUUUGAAGUACUUAAAAUAACUGUUCUUUUCAAAGCACGAAGCAUAUGAAAUAAUCGUUAUUUUUUAAAAACUUUAGUUGUCAAAAAAUAUUGUUAUUAUAUUUUAUGCUCAACAGUUAUGGUCUCCAAGUUUCUGCUUGAAAUAUUUUAAUAAGCAGUAGAUGUGGCCCAGAAUUAAAUGAGAGGAAAUUAUAUGAGACGACGUGGCAAGAUUUGAACUUGGAAUUUAUUAUUCUGAUGUCAUAUUAAAUGAUGUAAAUAUAAUAGAUUUUGAUGUCAAUUGCAGAUUUGUAUGGAGAUCAUUGCAUUACGUACAGUGAAUAUGUACAAUAAAAAGAAUAUUAUGCUAAUUAAUUUCUAUAUGUACCAUUAUGCUAUGCAUGUCGCAAUUGAUUAAUUAUAAUAUUUUUUCAUAAUCACACUAAAACAUAAAUAUAUAUAUAUUUUUAAAUAUUUUCAUUCUAACUUUAAUUUGUGUAAUAGCAUUACUUAACUGUCAAUGUUCAUGUUCAACAUCAUGGCGCCGUUACCGACCGUCCCUAGAGCAAGUGGCAAAGAGCUUGGUGGUUGGUACUCAAGACCUAAGUUCGAAUUCUAGUUAAUUCACAUUUUCAUCUAAGUUUAUUUCUAAAUAAAAUAAACGAAGCGGGUAGCGUGCUAUCUAUCUCUCAAAAAAAACAUCAUGACCCCGUUCUAUUGACUUUUGAUUCGUACUAAAAAAACAUCAUGGCUCCGUUCUAUUGACUUUUGAUUCGUACUAAAAAAACAUCAUGGCCCCGUUCUAUUGACUUUUGAUUCGUACUAUGUAGCUACCGAAGAUAUUGAAUGGGUCCAUGUAAUAGUUGAGAUCUCCACUGGGGAUUCUUUGCUUACACAAUAAGCACUCUCACUGCUUUAUCUUUUUCAAUUUUCUUUUUUUUUUUCCAUCUAUAUAACUAGUAAUUUUACAUCUAUUAAGGGCUUGUUUGUUUGCACGAAAGUAGGCUGAAAGUGGGAAGGAAAAAGUAAUUUUCGGUGAAAACUGUCUACUUUCGUUAUUUGGUUCACUAUAAUUUUAUUACGCCCGAAAGUCCAGUUCAUUCAAAAUAAUGAAAUUGACUUCGCCCUCCCACGGGGUAAAGUCAAUUCCGGUGAAGUGAAAAAAAGGCAAGAGUGGGAUUAAUGUGUUAGGGUAUCUCCUCUCUACCCUUUCAUCCAAAUAUAUUCAAUUGUGGAAGUAAUUAAAUUUUUUAUUUUGAUUGUAUGUCUAAAAUAUGAUCAAAUUUGGUUAGAUAAGUUUUAAUAUAUUUUUUGUUUAAUAUGUAUAUUUAAAAAAUGAUGAAAAAUGAAUUUGUUAAAUGUUAAUAAAUUUUUAACUUUAGAAUUUUAUUUGCUGCAUUAUAAUAAUUUAUAUGCAAACAAACAAUAUAAUUUUUUAAAAUUUUAUUUUAUAAUUAUACAUAUAUAUAAUUAUAUACAUAUAUAAUUAUAUUAAUUUUUAUUUAUUAUAAUUUAUUAUUCACUAUAAGUUACAAAAUAGACAAUAAUAUAACUUCGGAGGUAAGUAUACCGAGGGUGAAAAGUUACACUUUUUACGUCAUCUACUUCCUACCAAAUAAACAACAGAACUCGCAAAACUGUACUUCCACAGUUAAAAACAAACAGCAGAAGUGAACUAAUUUUCACCCCAACACCACUUCAACCCAAAGUCCACUUCCACCCUAAGUCUACUUAUAUUGAAACAAACAUACCCUAAUUGUACGUGAUGCGUACUAACUCUUUAAAAAGAUAGAACAGGUAAAAUGACUAUUUAAUAUGAAAUAUACUUACCAACCGUUCUUAGUGCAAGUGACAACAGUCUCAAGUUCUAAUCUUAAUUGAUUCAUAUUUUCAGCUAAAUUUAUUUUUUAAAAAAACAAACAAAGUGAGUAGCAUGCUAUUUAUUUUUAAAAAUAUUUAAAAUAUAUAAUUUAGCUGAAAAUAUGAAUCAAAUAUCAGCAUAUGAAUUGAUCAUAUGCAUAUUUAGAAUAUUACAAAUGUUUAAAGUUCAAAAAAAAAAAAAAACACGGGUUAACAUAUUUUGAAAAUUAGCAAAUGUUCUAACUUUAGGGGGAAAAACACAGGUUAAUAUGUUUUAAAAACCAAAUUAUGAUCUCUGAAAAAAUUUUCCAUAUCACAUGAAAAUUAUACGCCUCUUGUUUUGUUCUGUUAAACUUAAGCCACAAGAGGCCCGAGCCGUGUCAGACGCGCGUCCAUCGCGCAUCCUGACAUGAAAAUAAAAAUAAGGAAAAACUUCAAAUACCACCCUUGUGGUUUCAUACUUUUUCACUUUAGUAUCUUAUAGUUUAAAAUAUCUCAAUUUAGUAUUCUGUGGUUCAAAUACCAUCCCGUUAAUAUUUCAGUAAAUUAUAUACAAAAAACUUCAUAUAACCCACCUAGAUAUAUUAAAUAUUCGCUUUAGUCCCCUUUAGUUUUACGUUUAUCACUGAUUUAACAUAAAAAUUAUUGGAGUCAAUAAUAAAAAAAUAAAAAUAAAACCACAGGACACUAACUUAAUACACUUUAAAUCAUAGAAUACUAAAGUGAGAAAGUACGAAACCACAGAGGAGGUGACAUUUGAAGUUUACCCGGAAAAUAAAAAGGGGUGUGGAGAGGACUUGUGUGAGUCUUCAAGAGGACUUGCGUGUGCCUUGUUGGAUACGGAUGCAAAUUGAUUUGAAUUGGUAGAGCUUUCAUUCUAAUUAGUUUAGAAUUGGACAAUAAAUGAAACUAAUAAAUGAAUAUGAGGAGUAAAUGGAAGUAUUUUUUUUUUCAUCUGAAAGAUAUCCAGGGCGAGAGAUAUAUAUUAAAAGAAUUGAUUCGUCCUGAAUCAGCUCCGAAUAGAAUUUAAAUUAUAGAAUAAUUUUUUAUUUUUUAAAUAUUAUUGAGUCUUAAAUCAGCAAAUGUGAUUUAAAAGAUAUUUUCUUUGAUGAUAUUUUUAUUAUUUUAAAAUUUUAUUCUAAUUAAAAUAAUAAAAACAUAUUGUGUUUAAUUUAAAUUUAAAUAAAAAAUAAAUAAAAUUUGGUUGGUGGUGUGAAUUUUGAGCAAUGGUAGAAGGCAGUUUUUUUUUUUUUUGAGAGAUAGGUAGCAUGCUACUACCGGUUUCGUUUAUUUCUUUUAGAAAUAAACUUAGCUGGAAAUGUGAAUCAAUUAGGAUUCGAAUUUGAGAUCUCGGGUACCAUCGACCAAGGCGUUUGUCACUUGCGCCAGGAACAGUCGGUGUAGAAGACGGAUUUUUAAGCGGGGCAGGUUACGGGAGACAUAUAUUUCGUUUCAUCACAAAGGAGGGGCGGGAAGCGAGACAGGCUUAAUAUAUGCUGGGUGGGUACGUAGGAGGCGAGGCAGGAUUCUCUCCGCCGAAUCCACCCCGUUUGCAUCCCUACUCAGCACACAGGGAGGGAGUGGUGCUUUCAACAAUGGAAAAAUAUUAUUGCCUACACUUGAUGCAUUUUUAUAUAAUUAUACAAACUACAGUCUACAACUAAUAUUUGAUACUUAAUAUUUAAAAUUAAAAUCUAAUUUGGUAUGAUUUAUAAUAUUUAAUAGCCAUAUGUAUGAACAUUAUAAGUUUUAAAAAAUAUAUUGUCUAGACAUUAAGUAGUUUUAAAAAUCAACUAUAUUAAGAAAAUUCGUUGUUUGAUUUAUAAAAUUUAUUAUUCAAAAUUUAAAAUUUUGAUAUAUAAUUUUUUAAUGUUAUAAAAUACAUAUAAUAAAUUAGAUUCUACAAAAAGGAUUUUAUGUGCGGUAAAUAAGAUGUACUUACUUAUACACUUGGUUACCGUUUGGUUUGGGUAUAAGCAAGAACUAGCUAUUACAGGAAUAGGUACAAGUAUGGAGAUAAGAAAAAUAGCGUUGGGAUGAAAAUUGAGUUGUUUCCGGGGAUAAGAAAAAUAUUAGGUAGUUUUAUAUAGAAAAUAAAGGUGUUGGUGGGGAUAAUCGAGAACUACUAUUCUCGAAUAAAAUCUAGGUUGAAAUUUAAAAUUUUAUGUUGGAAUUUAUAAUUUAGAGCUUAAUACAUCUUUGAGAUAUGGGAGCUGAAAAUUCUUUUGUUAGAGUGAAUUAUAAUUUACUUUAUUUUUUGGAGUAUAGUUUAACUAUACUUUAAAAAUUACGUCAUUUUUUUUUUCCAAACGCUUCACAGAAUAAUUUUUCUACCAGUCUAAUAUAGUUUAACUAUGUUACGUUUUCAGGAGUAUCCAAACGGGGUCUAAGAGAAAAUGUCCAGAUGGGGAGUUGAUUGCUCAGGAUUCAGAAGUUUCUACCACAUUCUCUACAGGCAGCGUCCUAAGAUUAGUCCAAAAACAUAAGCUAGCUAACUAUUAGUUAGAAAUUAAUUCAUUUUUUGAAAAUAGAUCGACUCAAUUAGUUAACAUAUAUAUAAAACAUACAGAACUUUUCUGCAUAUACACAUGCUGCUGUAGAAAAUACUUAACUCAUUAUGAGUCGAUAGAGUACUUGGAGAGGAUUUUUUGGAUCACAACCCAAAGCAUCUGCUGGAAUAAUUAAUGAAACAAAUAUAUAUAUAUAUAUAUAUAUAUAGAGAGAGAGAGAGAGAGAGAGAGAGAGAGAGAGAGAGAGAGAGAGAGAGAUAGAGCCCGGCUAUGGUGCUUGUAAAAGUGCCAAACACUUGGUGCUUUUAAAUUUUUUACCGUUAGAUCUCUACCUUUGAUCCAUUUUACCCGUUAGAUUAUACUAUUCAACCAACCACCCACUCAACUCUAGGGAGGCCACAUCAUCCUAACCACACAUCCUUUAAUCCAAAGGCUGAAAACUUAUAAGCACCAAUGACUUGUUACUUUUAAAAGCAUAGGAGCUCAAUUAUAUAUAUAUAUAUAGAGAGAGAGAGAGAGAGAGAGAGAGAGAGAGAGAGAGAGAGAGAGAGAGUUGAGCUAGAAUACUAUCGAUAGCAAAUCGGCUCUUUUACUGCCCAUUGUUUUCGAUGAUGGAGCCUCCAAAUUGAUGAUCGGCACCGUUGAACAUGAUUUAUACCAUUUGAAAUAUUUAGAAAUUAAAUUUCAUACAUUUCGAUAUUGUUCUCUUAUCCAUCGAGUGGACACAAAAAUGAACGGCUGAAAAUGAAUAUUCUCAAAAAAAUGAUGAUAGGAGUCUUGUAAUCAAGAUCAAAAGUAUAGAUCUUAUUUUAAAUAGUUUAAAGAAUUUUCUAACAAAAAUUCAAUUGAUUUGGAUAUCUUUAUACCAUUAAACGAGAAAACGCCUCAUAUCNAGUCUAGAUCUUAUUUUAAAUAGUUUUAAAAAAAAUUUACAAAAAUUUAGUUGAUUUGAACUUUUCUACAUCAUUAAACGAGCAAAUGCACCAUAUCGGUCAUUAAAAUUAUAGGUUUUAUGACCCUUUGAUCAUUCAGUUAGUGAUGCCAAAAAAUAAUGAAAAUUGAUUUCUAGAUAAUUUAAAUGAUCUAGAUCAUGUUCAACAGUGCCAAUCAUCGAUUUGAAAGCUCUAUCAUCAAAAAUAAAUCGAUAGUAAAUCGAGCAGUUUAAUACCGAUAGUAGUCCAGUCAAACUCUCUCUCUCUCUCUCUAUAUAUAUAUAUAUAAAGCAAACGAUGCACCAUAUAUAUGUAGAUAUAUACACUAAGAAAGUGUACAACAACACGACUCCAAAUUACUUUACUAAAUUAUUAUACAAACAUCAUCGAUCGAUCUCAUUCCACGCAUGCAUGUCAAGCUAGCACGUCGGCCUAUUUCAGAACUGUAUUGUCUAAAAGCACUCAUUUUUAUAUUUUAAAUAUUUUGAAUUUUUUUAAAAUAAUAACGAAAUAAAAACGGAUGCUUUUAUUAGCGACUCAAUCUGGAACUAGGCCUAGCGACUCAAUCUGGAACUAGGCCUUAGAAAACGUGCUCCCUUCCUGCUCUGAGAUUUAUGAAGUAUCCACGAGGGUCGCUCUCGAACACGUCCCUGGGAAUGAGCGCGCCGCGUCGCCCCGGGGCGCGCAUCAUCCUGCGACAACAGCAGCAGAGGCUGCGGAGGCAGCGGUAGGGGAUGCAGAGGCAGCUGCAGAGGCAGUGGCGGCAGCAGUAGAGGCAGAGGAGGGCGAGGGCGGCGGGGAGGCCGUAGACGAGGCCGAUAUGGGUCCAGCGGGCGAACGUAUCGGCCCGGGUGUCGGGGGGGAACACCUCGUCGGCUUUGCUCACCAGGUAGGUCCAGAUGUGCUGGAAGAAGUGGAGCAGCUCCGCCAGCUUCUCCUUCACCAAGUCGAGAGCGUCGCCUUUCAUGUCGUCCAGCCUGUUCGAUCGGCCGGCCGACGUGCUCUCCAGCACCAGGAACUUCCUCAUCCCCUCGAUCUUUGUAUAUAUAAAUUAAAUGAUCUCUCUCUCAGAGUGCAUGUAUGUGUGCAAUGGCUCAAGAGGAGGAGGUGAUACAUAUUUAUAUAUGGAAGGACUUUACGAUAUGUUGCACAACAGGUCCAUUUUUAUCCGAUGGAAAGAGAAAAAGAGCAGAAAAAGAAAAAGAUAAAAAGGAAAAAAAAAAACAAAGUAAUUUUAUUUUCCUUUAAUAUAUAUAUAUAUAUAUAUAUAUAUAUAUAUAUAUGAGUCUGGCUACUAUACUCUUAUGAGUAUAAUUCUCUUCGUAUUUAUAAGUUUUUGGCCGUUAGAUUUACUUUUUUUUAUUAUUUUCACCCGUUAGAUUAUACUAUUCAACCAACCACCCACUCAACCCUAGGGGACCACUAUUAACGUAACCGGGGAUCACUAUCAUCCUAACCACACAUCUCUUCAUCCAAUAGUUGAAAAUUUGAGUACAAAAGGAGGUAUACUCAUAAGAGUAUAGUAGCCCUAUCCAUAUAUAUAGAGUCCGGCUACUAUACUCUUGUGAGUAUAAUCCCAUUUGUACUUAUAAAUUUUUGGCCGUUAGAUUUAUUUCUUUUAUCAUUUUCAUCCGUUAGAGUGUUGGUUUUUCAGUCGAAUAUUGCUCAAAUUAACACAAAUUGAGAAUUUUCUAAAACUUUUCUUGUGAAAAUUAGUACAAUUUUUAUUUUCUGAUCUUGUGCUUGCACGUUCUUAGGCAUAUUGCAAUGGACAUAAUUCUAAGUACUAUUUUUACUGUCAUAGAAAUACACCAGAUAUAGCCAAUAUUUUUUUAAAAAAAUUAGUGAAGAAAGAUAAGGAGUAAUAUGAAACACUUUUAAAAACUAAGGAUCUAAAAUGCCAAACUUAUAAAGUUUAAAACUAAUAGAAUGCAAUUUAUUGUCACUACAACAAAAACGGUCUAUAGCGACAUUUUUAAAUAUAGGUAUAUGUCAAAAAAGUGCUGCUAGCUAAAAUUACCGACACUUUUAAAAAGUGUUGCUAUAUGUGGGGUCGCUAGAUAUAUAGUGACAGUUAAAGAGUGUCGCUAUAACUUAAAAGAGUGCUGCUAAUUUACCAACACUUAUUUAAGCAUUUAGCAAUCGUCGAAACUCUCUCUCGUUGGCUGCGGUGGCGGAGGAGGACGACAGGAAAGGCUCUUCGUCUAGAAUUUCAGUGGAUUGAGUAAAGAGAGAAGAAAAGAUGGUAAUUGAUUUUUUCUUUUUUUUCUUUUCUGUUUGUAAUCGGGCCAAAUGGACUGGGUGUGGUGGGUUGAGUAGAGUAAUCUUUUAUUUUUGGUUGGAUUGGGCUUUAUAUUUAGGCAUUAGUAGAUGUUUUUUUAAGUUUUAGCAUAAAUUGGACACUUACCUAAAAAUAUCCCAAACAUGUGUCCCUAUAAUCUAAUUUUGUUGUAGUGUGUGGACUAUAUUAUAAUAUAGAAAAAUUACUGCAUGCGUGCGCUGUGCUGCACAUUACUCUUGAAGACUCAGGCAAAAUAAUUUGGGUCUCCCGAAAUAUUACUUUUAUAGAUUAUUGAUGUAUUAAUAAUUAAACUUAUCAUAUCUUUUUGGCUUGCAUUUAUAUAUGGAUCAAUUGAAACUCUUCUUUCCAACUGUUUAAACGAAAAAAAAAACAAUUACACAAUAAUGUUGGGAAUUACGAUUAUCAAUCAUAUCUAGCGCAAUUGGCUAAAAGUUUGAUGUUGGAUAUCUAAAAUCCUAAAAUUCAAAAUCUAAUUACUCUAUUUUUAAAAUUAAAUUUAUUUCUAAAAAAUAAAAAAAAGGUAGCAUAUUAUCUUUCGCUACAAAAAAAAACACUCACACACAGACACACACAUUAGGAUUUGCUAUUAAUUGCUUCCUCCUAAAGGCUUUCCCAUGGUGUUUUUGGUUUUUUUUAAUUUUUUUCCCCCCUAAAAGUAUGUUCAAAUGAACUGGCUAACUCACUCAUCACCUGUGUAAUGGCUCCCAAGUCCAUUGCUUAUGAAAAUUAAUAAAAUCUCAACCUAAAUCCCUCCUACUAGGAAAAAUAAAUUAUAGGAUAGUACCUGGAGAUUAGAUGGAAAAUAAAAUAUUACUUACCCACCAGUUUAAAAUUCGAAUGCUAGAUAGAGAUAAUGAUUCCCUGCAUAAUAGUGUGCCAACCUUUAUUGUUUUUUUUUUUUUUUUUUUUUUUUUUUUUUUUUUGGUGUGUCGCACUCUACUAUUCCACUAAUUAUCCUACUAGCUUUUUAUUCCACUAACAAAUAAAAAAAAAGAAAAAAUCUUCCACUAACGAAUAAAAAAAGAAUAAAAGUAGUCCUGUAUUUAAUUAUAACUCGUCGCCACUCUCUCACUCCCUUAAACAAAAAAAAAAAAGAAAAAGAAAAAGAAAAAAGAAGAAGUACUAUGUUGCAAUUAAAAAAAAAAUCCGUUCUGCAGGAUGUUAGUAGAUGGAUGAAUCUUUUUUGGGAAAACUUCUGAAACCCCCCUUGUGGUUUCAUUUUUUUUCACUUUAGUAUCAUGUAGUUUAAAAUGUAUCAAGUUAGUACCUUAUGGUUUAUCACUUUAUCACUUUAGUACCCUGUGGUUUAAAGUGUAUUAAGUUAGUACCAUGUGGUUUUACACUUUAUCACUUUAGUACCCUAUGGUUUCGCACUUUAUCACUUUAGUACCUUAUGGUUUAAAAACCAAAGGGUACUAACUUGAUACAAAAUUAAAACCACAGGGUAGUAAAGUGAUAAAGUGCAAAACCAUAGAGUACUAACUUGAUACACUUUAAACCAUAGAGUACUAAAGUGAUAAAGUGAGAAACCACAUGGUACUAACUUGAUACACUUUAAAUUAUAGUAGGGUACUAAAGUGAUAAACUAUGAAACCACAGGGGUUUUUUUUAAAGUUUUUCCAUCUUUUUUCCUCUUACCCCUACUUUCUUUUGCUUUUGCUUCCUUUGCCUUUUUCUUUUUCUUUUCUUUCCAUGUUCUUUCUCUCUUUAGAUUGCUUUAGCUUGUUCCUUUUUUUCGCAAAAAAGUAAAAUUCAGAUCUCUAAUAACUUAAAUAUUUAUAAAGUAAUAAUGAGAAUAAAAGAUUCUGAAUUCAAAUCCCCUUACUUCGGAUUUUAUAAAAUUUUUGUGCAUUUAAUUUAGAUUCAUCUCUUGAAUUUAUUAAAAUGUUAAAGAAAAAUAUUAAAUAUACAUAUUAAAAAUUAUACUAAAAAAUAAGAGAUUAAUUUAGUGGUUUAAGCUUAGGGAAGUAAUAGUUGAUCCACUAGGCUUCUAGACAUAUUUAAUUUUUUCUCAUUCAAUAAUAAGUCCACGUCUCGAAACAACGAUCAUCACAUAUAAUUUAAUAGCAAUCUCACGAGAACAAAAGAGGACACCAACUAUUUCUGGCGCAAGUGAUCACAAAGUGUUUAUUAGUUGAUGCUAAGAUCCUAAGUUUAAGGUUCGUAUAUUAAAAAAUGAAUGAAAUGGAAUAUGGAUGCUAGAAAAAUGAUCAAAAUUAAGAGAACUAAAAAUUCUGCAUCUAAUUAAUCAUCUAAGAGAAAGUCCUGCCUGAAACCUUAAUUACACUACAACAAAACUGAGCUAUAGCGACACUUUUAAGUGUCCCUAAAACUAUAAAAAAGUGCUGCUAGCAAAAAUACCGACACUAAAAAAAAUGUCGCUAUAUGUGCAGUCCCUAGGGUAUAUAGCGACACUUAAAAAAGUGUCGGUAUAUCCCAAAAUAAGUGCUGCAAUUUAGUGGCACUUUUUUUUAGUUUUUAGUGACACACAUAAGUGUCCCUAAUUUUUUUUAAAAAAGUAAUAUUUUUUUUAUAUAAUAACACUUUAUAAGUGUCCCAUUGUCAUUCAAAGUAUAAUAUUUAUUUAAACAUCUAGUCUAGUAUUAAACUUUAGUUAAGCUAAUCUCAUUUAUAUUAAAUUGCUGAGACUAAAAAAAAGCAAUCAACAAAGUUUUUUAAAUUCUUAUUAAAAUGAUAAAACUAAAAUCAAAUAUACAUACGUCACAACAAUAAUAUCCACUCAUAUGUUGUAGUAAUUAUAAUAAAUCAAACUCUGAAAAAAAUACAAAAAAUUAAAAAUUGGAUGAUAACAAAAUCAAAAGAGCAUAAACGAAUUCUAAUCGGCUCCACGAAUAUAUACUUGAACCUGCACAUUGAAUAACAUUUGAAUUAAUUCAAAUUUGUGCAACAUCCUUGAUUUGCCAAAGCAUUAAAAAAGAAGAGUGUAUUGCCUAUGUUUAUAACAACAAAAUGCAGGAGUUCCGCAAGAAAUUAAAACAAAUCAUUUUCCGUCGACAUUAGUACCGAGACAUUAAUUAUUUUAAUCUAUAAUUUUUCUCUUUUUAAAAUUCUAGCAUUGUAAAUACAAGUUACUUACAAGAGAACAAGAUACCAUGUACACGGUUAAGUUGAGAUUUAGAAAGAUCACUCGAGCAUUAAAGAUCUAUUGAGGUAGAAACAGUAGUCUUAAGAGAAAAUAAUUACAAAAUUCGACCUCGCAAUAAUAUUAUUUGCCUGCUGCAACAUGUGCUCGGCUCAUAAGAACUAUGUAAACUUUAUAGGAGUAAUAAGGGUGCAAUAAAUACCAUAGUCAAAUAUAAAACUAUUCAGAAUAUGCAUGGUAUUUUAAAGCAUUAUUUGUUGUUGUUUGUGAUUCCGAUUCAAAAUAAACAACAAAGAGCGAGUCGAGGAGACCUUACAAAGGGAGUGAUUGAGGCCCCCCUUGCAUUUUUGCUCUUUUUGUCCUCAAUCUCUCCAUAAAUUGUGGGUUGGCCCUCAGUCGAUCUUUGACGUAGGCGUUUCGAGCCGCCUCCACUAGUUUAUCUGCUUUCAUCGCGUCUUCAAUCAAGGCGUAUAGAGUCCUCAGACAAUCUUUUUUGUUCUCUUCCCUGUGCUCAAACCUGGAAUUGCAAGAAAAGGGAUGGCUCCUUUAUAAGCUUCCAAAGUUAUAGUUCACAUGCAUUUUGCAUGAUCUAUGAGUGUGAGUGAGUGAUUGUUCAGUAAACUUAGAUGCUAAAAUUUGAAAAGAGAGCUUCAUAGGAGUAUAAAAAGUCUAAGGCAACUAUUGCGAUUUUUCGACAUCAAAUGGAAGAGAAAACAAAAGAUCAAGUAAAAGACUGAGAGACAGAAGUUGUAGAUCCCGCACAUGUAAAAAAGCACAAAUAAAAGUAUAGUCCGGUGUUUCCUAGGCAACUUUUUCACAUGAGAUGUAAGUAGCCUGUUUACAUUGCAAGUACCUAACAAAAAAGAAAUUGUUUUAUCUUACUCUUUUCACAUUAUUGAUAUCACAAUGCCUGUCUAAUGGAAGUUCCUUGAUCCUAUUAGGGAAGUUCCCCUCAAAACUUGCAACAAUUUUCCAUCCUGCACCCUGCAUAUACAAGGUAAAUCUUUUAUAGAUGCAUUACAUAUAUAACGGCUAGUAAGUUUUCUUUUUAAGAAAAGAAAAACAUAACUUUCUACUAACCUCACCAGUUGCAAUAUGCUGAAGAAACUUAUCUUCAAAUUCUCGGCAAAGCUCCAGAGCAAUAGUUCUGGUUCCUUCCGCACUAUGCACCAUUUGCUCCCCCAGCCUUACCAAUUCAUCUUGUACUAUCUGCGACUUAUCCUGCAGGAGCCUGAAAAUAGUGCUCACAGAAGAAGUUCAUUAGUUCAAAACUGAUCAAACAUUUUUUACCGAGCCUACUGAUCAACACUAAAUUAUUUGGAAAUUGGAAUACACAAUUAAAAAAGCUAGAAAAAGCCCUCCAUCUCUGGCUAAUCACUCAGCCAUCUAUACGAUUAAAAAAAUCAAGCAAAGUCAAUAAAUUUUUUAGUACUCAAUAUGUUUGAAAUAAAAGGGUAUAAAUGCUUCAUGACUGGCCUCUGCUAUUUCUAUUGGGAAGCAAUUAAUUCUAGCCAUCUAUUAGAAGCAUAAAAUUUUCAACUUUCAAGGAAGCUGAUAAGCUAUUGCUUAACAGGACAUCACAUUGCAAGAAUUAUAACAUUACAUAGUUUAAGUAUGAUAAUCCCAACUGUUAUCAACGAAGCAAACAUGGAAAUUUAUUGAUAACCUCAUAUUCUCAUGAAUAUACAAAGAUGUGAAAUUAAAAUUAUGCAAAAGCAGAAUAACUCUUCAAAUUCUAACCUCCCAAUAUGUGGAGCCUCCUAUUUACUUGUGCAUCUUACUUUGGUGCAAGUGCAGCACAGGAACAAAAGGACAAAGCUUUCGAUAAAUUAGUAAAAGAAGAGUGGUUGUUCAUUAUUAGAGAUAGCAUCAGGUAUAGUUGAUAGUUCAGCCAAAACCAAAUUAGAUAUCAACAUAAAAGAUAAUUUGGAAGCCAAAACCAAAUAACAUAUUGCUCAAUUGACAAGUUACAUCUCACACAUAAUAACAAAAAAAAAGAAAUCACAAAUAAAUCAAAGAUGAUAUCCACUUAGUUGAAAUACUGCAGAGGUCUAAAGCAAAUCAAAACAGGAACUUAUCCUUGAAUCCUAACACUGUUCAAUUGAGAUGCAACAAUAAGACUUAUGUUUCGCUUUAAACUUCUAACAGUCUGCUUUAAGCUGCACAUUAAUCCUUGUACAUCAAUCCCAACUUUGAGGCUUAAGGUCAUGCAUCUUACAACUUAUCUUCAAGAUCUAAAUGUGUAGAAUUUAGAUGUUGUUCUAAACAAAAGAGUUCAACAGUUCAUUAUAUAAAGGACCUAAUGUAAGAAUCAAAAUCUCUGAGUUUGAAUGUUGCAACACUAUAAGUUUAUUGUUAGUUAUAUUCAGCUAAUAGAAGAAAACAGAAUUUCACAUCUUUUAAUCCCUUCAAACCUACAGAUUUUCAACAUUUAAAGAUCCAAGAUGGUGCAUGCAAUUUUAUUCCAAAACUCUUUCGUGUGACAGUUAGAUAAGCAUAAUCUGAUCAUUAAUAGCAAGGCAAUUUAAUAGAAAAGGUUAUCGUUACUAGCCACAUACAUCACAAAGCAAAAUAUAUGCCUCUGUUCAACAACAUUCAGCUUAUGACAAUGGUCCCAAUAAACCAAUCAGCAAUUUUGGAAGCUUUUUACCUUCUCUAAAAGCAUAUGAAUGACUAAAAGCUUAGUCAAAGAUCAUCUAUAAGCCUUAAUUUGUUAUCGAAGCAAAAGAUUCAUGCACAAAGAUAUUCUUACAAGAAAUUACACCCUAAAUCCUCAUGAACAAGAAACCCUACCAUCGAUCGAGCUCACGUUCUUCUCCGUCUCCUCCUUUCACGCCUUUGACGCCGCCACGAGCACAGCUAGAAAGUGGUCGCCGGACUCCUUCCCCACCACCGCCGCCGCCUCGACGCUUGCCGCUCACUCCCCCGGCGACCGUGGCGUCUCGGGUGCUACGUCGGAGGAGGAGGAGAGCGAGGGCCUCUCUAGGGUUUCGGGGGGUCGGGUGAGGGGAGAAGAGGGAUACAACCCCUUUUUGUUUUCUCUUUUUUUCUUUUUUUUUUUUUUUGUAAUUGUGGUUUUUAUUUGGGCCUUGUUAGUUUUUUUUUCUAAUUUUAAAAGUUUUUUAACAUAUUGUGGGACACUUAUACUAAAGUGUCCCAAAAAAGUGUCUCUACAACCUAGUUUUGUUGUAGUGUAACAGACAUUUUCAAAACUUUGAAAUUGCAUAACAGAAUUAAUAAUGAUUAUUUCAGAGAGGACUCACACGAGGACAUUCAAGGGAACAUAACAAAAUUACUUCUCUCUAAUAUUAGCAACGUCAUUUCAAACCAUGCAUUCCUCGAACAUUCCAAACCAACUAAAGCACACGUAUAUAGUUCCAUCUCUAAACUAUUUAUGAAAUCCAAUAAUCAUACUGAAAUUAAUACUUCUAAAAACAUUACACAUUACUAUUCAUACGCAUGCUUUCACCCCUCCGUAACCUUUAAUGAGCGUAAAGAUUAGAGAUACAUUUGCUGAGGGAACAGCUAGAGCUAGGGAGCGUCCACACAUGUACAUUUGCAUGGAGCGCAUUCUCUUCUAUUUAUUCUUUCUUGGAUCUUAGAUUCUUGAAGUAGCCACUGGGGUUGCUCUCGAACCCGGCCCUGGAGAUGCGCUUGCCGCGUCUUCCGGGGGCCUUCAUCGUUCCGCCGCCGCAUCUUCUGGGGGCCUUCAUCGUUCCGCCGCCGCAGCAGCAGCAGCUGUAGAGAACGCGGAGGACGACGAAGACGGCGAGGCCGAUGUAGGCCAAAUGGGCCCAGUCAGCCUCGGCCCGGGCCUCCGGUGUGAGCGCCUCCCCAGCCUUCUUGAGCAAAUAGAGGUAGAUGCUGUAGAGGAACUGCAGCAGCUUCCCCUUUGCCAACUCCAGUAACGUUCCCAUCCACCCCAUCUCUCUCUCUCUCUCUCUCAAAUGGAUUAAUAGUGUUGAAGCACAAGGCUAUGAAGUUAUAUGUAUGGAAGGGAGCAGAUAAAAAUUAUUAGUUUGGAGACGAUGCGGAUGACACGGCAUGAUGAGUGCGUGCCCAUCGCACGUACAGGAACGAAAAGAAAAGAAAAAAAAAAUUCGUGCGCCUUAAUUUUAUGAAAGAGAGAGAGAGAAACUGAUGAAGAGAAAGGGAGGGUUGAGAUGCACAGGUUCACCACGUGGCACCCAUUCGCAUCAUUCUCAAAUUAGUAGUUUGGGGACUAUGCCCAUACAUCAUGCUAGCUUCGCUUUUUUUCAUUAAAAGAGUGGAUUUAAAUUUCCCCAAUAUCCCCAAACAAUAUUUUGGAGGGUAGGGUUGUUGACCUGAAUUAAUUGGAGUGGAAUUUUACCCCAAUUUAAUUUUUUAAUAGAAUUUAUAAUUUAAAUUAAAAGUUUAAAAUUUAAUUUUUAAAUUUAAAUUUAAAUUUUAAAUUUUUUAAAUUUAAAAAUUUGUAAGUUUAAAAUUGGUAUAUUUAAUUUUAAAUUAUUAAUUUUAAAUUUUAGAUUAUUAUUUUUAAUUUUUUAAAUUUAAAAUUUGAUAUUUGAUAUUUUUAAAUUUAAAUUUAAUCUUAAAAUCAAAAUUUAAAACUUCAAAUUUUUGAAUUUGAGAUUUAAAAUUUUUAUUUUUAUUUUAAUUUUUUUAAUUUUUAAAAUUAUAUAUUUAAAUUUAAAAUUUUAAUUAUGAAAUUUAAAAAUUUAAAUUCAAAUAUAAUGAGCAAUAUUAUAAUUUUCUAUUUAUAAUUACCUACUAUUCUUCUUAUUUCAUAUUAUCUAUCCAAAUGCCAUUUUUUUUAUUCUCGAAAAUAAUUCAAUUUUUAUUUCAAACUUAAUACUGAACUUAUAUUUAUUUUUAGAAUAAUAGUUCUUACUUAGCCCCAAAACAAACAAAGACUUCAUUAAACUUUCGAAAGACGUCGACGAGGGGGAGAGGCCAAAUCCACCAUGUCUGAAUUGGUGGUUUAAAUUUAUUGAAUCUGUGGGUGUCAAAAAGUGGAAAUUAAAGUUGUUAAUUAUUAAACGGAGUACCAUCUAAGUGCUAAGAUGGCUGUCUUAGUAAACGGAGGCCAAAUCCACCAUGUCUCAAUUGGUGGUUUUUAUUGAAUGCUAAUUAAGAUGGCUGCCUUAGUAAACAGAGUACCAUCUAAGUGGAUCAAAUCUAAACGAGGAGUGCGACAAGGCGACCCCUUAUCUCCUUAUCUCUUUCUUUUUGUGGCUGAAGGUCUUGCAAGGAUGGCUGUAAAGGUUGAGGAGUCCAACCUUCUCAAAGUCCUCGGACCCACGAAAGACAGCUCCAUAAUAUUAAUCCAGUACGCAGAUGAUAUCUUAUUUUUUUGUGAGGCAAGGAAAAAGUAUAUAUAUAACUUCAAAUUUUUGUGAAGUUUUUUUUGAAUGGGCCUCUGAAUAAAAAAAAAAAUCAAAAUUAUUCUAUAUGAAAAUGAAGGACGAAAAGGACACUAGACUUGCUGUAUCCUACAAUGCAAAGUUGGAAAUUUGCCUACAAGGUAUUUGGGUUUACCUUUGACAUUCAGGAAGCUUAAAAAAGAAGAUUGGGUUGGGGCCAUUGCUAGCUUCCAAAGGAGGAUUGAAAGCUCCUUUCAAGAGGUGGUCGUUUAACACUGGUCAAUUAAGUUCUUUCAAAUCUGCCGAUGCAUUUUCUUUCUAGUUUCAAGCACCGAAAUGAAUUUUAAAGCGAAUGGAGGCGCUGCGAAGGGACUUCUUUUGAAAAGAACGGGCGAGUUUUAUCGGUGGUGGAUGUCUGUUUGCUUGGAAAAACGUGUAUAUGAGUAAGAAGGAAGGUAGCUUAGGUGUUAAGGACUUGGCCACCAUGAACGAUGCUUUACUUGCUAAAUGGUGGUGGCGCUUUCGCAUUGAACGGGAAGUAUAAUGGACUAAACUUAUUAGGCGCCUAUACUACAACUGACGACGACCUCUACUAGAGGGAAGGCCCUUUCGGCCGGUCUCACAUUAUAAAGGGUUCAGAUCAUCCUAACUGCACAUCUUUUAAUACAAGGACAGAAAACUUAAUAGCACUAAGUCAUUGGUGCUAUUAAUAGUAUUCCAGCCUAGUUUGUUUUUUUUAUAUGUUGUAAAUUAUAGGGUUAAUUGUAUACACGUCCCUGCAAACAUAGUGAAUUGUAGAUAUAUUCCUGCAAAGCUCAAUUUUCAUAAGAUAUCCCUACAAAAGUCCUAAUGUAUUCAGAUAUGUCCGUGCCGUCAGGAUCCGUUAGAGAAAUUUCAUUAACCACAGUUAAAAUACUUAACCAUGGUUAAUUAAUAAUGUGAAUUUACAAUUUUGCGCUUCUUCUUCUUCCUCUUCCUCUCCUGCUUCUUGUUCUUCCUCUUCUUCCCCAUAUCCUCCUUUUCCUCCUUUUCUCUUUCUUCUUCUUCUUCUUCUUCGUCAUCGUCGUCAUCGAUGAUCCGAUCGUCGUCGCCGUCGUGGUGCCCUUGUGGGCCGUCGUCACGGGCGCCUCCGACGGCAUCGGCCGCGCCUUCGCCUUUCGCCUUUUUCUCGUCCUUGUUGGUUGCAACCCCGACAAGCUCCGCAAUGUCGCCGUCGCUGCCGCCACCGCUGUGUGCUCCCGCAGCCUGAAGAGGAAGAGGAAGAGGAAGAGGAAGAGGAAGAGGGUAAAGGCAAAAUUAUCAUUUCACAACUCUACUGUUAAAAAAUUAACAGCUCUCUAACGGAUCCUAACCAGAGGGACAUAUCUGAAUACAUUAGGACUUUUGUAGGGAUAGCUUAUGAAAGUUGAGCUUUGUAGGGAUAUAUCUGUAAUUCACCAUGUUUGCAGGGAUGUGUAUGCAAUUAACCCUAAAUUAUAUAUAUGGAUUGUGCUUGUACACCCGGUGCAGGCAAUAAUUUCUCAUGUUAGAGGGCCAACCGGAGCAUAGUUCAUUACGGCCUAGUAAUGACCCGGCCCGGCUAAAAAAUAUCCAAAUUUUCGACCCGGCCUAAUAACAACAAAGCUGGGUUUAUUGUGGCGUCCAUUUCGAUAGAUCGAUAUCGAGCGCCCCAACAAAAACCUCUCUUUUACACCCUCAGGCGGCGGGGCGGCGUCUUCGUCGAGGAGAGCGAGGUCGCGAGGAUCAUUCUCAAAGCGGUUGAUCCCCCUAUCCCCCAAUAAUCUCCAUUGGUACCCUUCCUUUCCUCUUCUUUUCGAUCCAAUCCCCUUUUCCUUGGCAAGGUUCGAAUCGAUUCUUUUUCGCUACUUUUCGAGAGAUUCCGGUCGUUUGAGAUUCGAUUUUUCUUAGGGUUGGGUUUUUCUCCGCUAAGAAUCGAUUCUAAAUAUAGAAAAGACGAUCAGAAAAGGAGAGAAAUUUCUCAUUUGUGCUAAAAAUAGCUUCCUGUUUAAGCUUAGUGUCGAUUCAAUCCCCAUGUUGAAACUCUGGCGAUUUUGAUCUCUUAAAUUUGAAUUUGGUUUGGGCAAAAAAAAGAAAGCUUUUUUGUGUGGCGUUUUGUGGGAAUUUUCUUGAAUUGAUUUUAGGUUAUCAGAAUAUAGCUGCAUUGGUUGGUAAAUUGUGCUUGAGAAUUGAGAUGAUUCUUUUCCACUUCUUUUGAUAGGUAUCUGCGAGAAAAGAGGUUCUUUUCAUGCACAAAGAGCCGUUCAAAUUUACCCUUUUCAUGUAGAUAUUGCGAUUAAUGAUAUAGCAAUCAAAUUCUUGUAGGGAGAGGGUUUGGGCUUGCUAGGGAGUUCGAUAUUUGCAGGUUGAAAACCCUCUCUUGUACAAAUUUUGGCAUCGGUUCCUGAGUAAAUUAUUGUUAUAAAGAUUUGGGAGUGGGAGGAGUAUGGGAUCGGUUUGUUCCUGCUUUCAAGGAGAUGAUUUUGGAGAAUAUGCCAAUGUUGGUGCUUCGAUCUAUAGACACUGCAUCUGCCUGAGAUGCUUCGCUCGACAGAUUAUUCAGGCAGUAUGUCCAUUCGCGCUUUAUCUGUCGUCUUCUAUUUUCAAUUCUGUGUAUUUGUCAUAUAAUGGAAGUUAGGAAAACCCCAAUUCUCCACGUGAAAAGAAAAUUGAUUGUUGUAUUCUCUGAUAUCUGUUUAUUUGGCUUGAUGAAUCAGUUACAAUAGCUUCAGUGGGUAUUCUUUAAUGAGUUUCCCAGGAUGACAAAUAGAGUGAGUUGUCGUUGCUUGGGCAUAAGAAAGGAAGGCAUUACCAUUUAUACCUAACAUUGUUGAAACUUUUACAUAUCAGGAAAUCGACAAACUUAGUAGGAAGCAUAUUGGAAGUUUGGCAUGUUGCUUUGUCUAUUUCAUGAGUCUAUAAUGCAACCUGUAAGAUAAGUCUAUCAUUCAAUUUAUGCAUGGGAUGGUCUCAUGUCAAUUUUUAGAAGGUUAAUGCUAGCUUUAAAGGUUUAUUGCAAGAUUCAUAUUUGGCUGUAAAACCCAAUCAUUUUUUUUUUGUUGCUGGGCCUCUUUCUAUUUUGAAUUAUGCUCUUUGUUGGCCUCAUUUGGCUAUGGGAAGGCUUGGGACAAAGAAGAUUAGAAUUCUACUCUUACUGUUUCAGUUAGAUAUGAUACUUCAAGAUAAAUGCUAUUCAAACGGUAUUCAUUUGUCUGAUGAUCUAUAAAUAGUGGAUAUGCCUCUUCUAUUUCCGAAAGGUUCAGCCAUUUCAUGAAAAGAAAUACCGAAGGUGGCACUUACUCCAAAAUCUCGCUUUUCAAUGGAAAUACUGCUGGGUGUUGAUCUACUGUUAAAGUUUGGUGGUGAAUUGUGGACGGUAUAACUUUUCAAAAGUAUUUUGUAAGAAAACUAAGAAUAUAUAUGUAUUGAAUGACAUGCAACUUGUGAUUGUUAUGCUCUUCAUAUGUCCCCCUAUAUGCUGAAAACAGCUAAUUUCUCUUGGAGACCUGUUUAUUAAACCAUCUUUCUUAAGUUCACUUGCUGUAAUGCUCUUCGGCUGUUCUGAGGCAUUUGCUGAUCACUUAAUAAUAGGUAGCUACUAUUGUUAGUUCUUCCAUCGCCCCUUGGUGCAGCCACUAUUCACUAGUUCUUUCUAGUUUCUAUCACUGGUUAUGCUCCUGUGAAACUUAUUUAAGUGGUUAUGAGAUAGAAGUCUUAAAUUUUCCCACCUGGUGUCUACAUGCAUUUGAUAUCCGAAUGUUCAUUUUUAGAAAAAGUUGCAUAUUGUGGUGGGUACAUCAUGAUGUUUUGUAGUUCUCUUUUGUAAAUUGAGCAUAACUUGGCUGGAUCUGCUUAUUAUCCAAAAAAUAGUUAUUAUAGCAUUGUUUUUGGAACAACUGUAGAAGAUAGACUGCUUUGGUUUACUAGGGUUUUGUGGGGAGAGGUGCCAACUAGAAUAUGCUCGACUAUAAUGCCAGGGAAUUCGAGUAAUAUUGUGUUGUACUGAGAUCUAAAAUAUGAUUUUUAUGAGGCUAUCAUUUUUUCCUUUUGACUCUGCAGUACAGCACAUUGUUCCAAAGAGGUGCUUUGCCCUCUGUAUCUCCAUCUGUACAAGGGACAACUCCCAUUGCUUCAAUUGAAAGUUCUAUAUUUGAUGCAUACCGUUCUCUUCCGAGGCCUUUGCCUUAUGAUGAUCCUAGAUGCUCUCGUGUACCACGUGAUGGUCUUGUAUUGAGGCGUGACAAGUCUUCAGGCCAUCUUAAUGAAGAAUCAGAACCACUUAGAACUAAUAGUGACAACGAAGUAGAAUCUCCCAGUUCAAAAGAUAAGAGUGCCGGAUCUAAUUAUGAUGGAAACCUCAAGUUAUGUUGUUCUGGAUAUGCUUCGAAGCUUCUGCCAGCAGAAUUCACAAAAGGAACGACAUACUAUUUUCCAUCAUCUGAAGAUGAAGAUGUGUGCCCGACAUGUCUUGAAGGUAGACAAUUUAUUUUUCAUUUAUUACUUUCAUAUGUGUGGCAUAUACAACCUCUUAGUUAAUAUAGCUCUGAUGAUAUAACAUCCUUGGUUUUGGUAUUGAAGAAACGUCCUGAGGUAAAUAUGAUGAGAAUUUUGCUUGCAGAUAAGCUGAUUUCAGUGAAUGGACAUUUUAACUUUUUUGAGUCAAUUAUCUUGUUUCUAAGUUAGCGUGGUGUGAUUUUCAUCAAGUAUCCUAUUUUGGGUAGCACCCAGUUUUCAAGCAAAAUUCCUGGAAAUGGAUUCAAAUUCACCCCUCAGGAAAAUAGUUUACGUUAAUAACUUAUUCUGAAUAAUUAAACACACCUAAUAACUUAUUCCGAAUAAUUAACCACACCCCAAAGACAAUAUGUUUAUGUUAUGCAUGUGGGCUUGAUUGCCAAAAAUCUUUGACUUAAAUUUGCUGAAAAUAGAGACCUAUAUUAAAAGAAAGAAAAAUUCCUAGUUAAUAAAUAAAGGUUAUAUACUUGUUUUUGACAUAUUUUAUAACUAUCCCUUCUGCAGAAUAUACUCCUGAAAAUCCCAGGAUUGUAAUGCAGUGCUCUCAUCAUUUUCACCUCGGCUGUAUAUAUGAGUGGAUGGAAAGAAGUGAAGCUUGUCCGGUUUGCGGCAAGGUAACUGAUUUAUCGCUGCCUAUCAUAAUGAAUAUACCACUAUCCAUGCAAUUAAUUUUACUUUCCCCGUGGGGAUGCCGACAAUCUUUGCUGACAAAGCUGUUGGAAUACUAGUACAACUAGCUCAGCAGUGCUAAUAAUUUUAAAAUUUGUACAUCUUGUGUUAGUUAUUGCUUCCUUUUGUUAUGCGUUGCUGAUGGAUCGGUUCAACAGGUCAUGGCGUUCAACGAAGCAACUUGAUACUUCUGAAUCGACUAAGAACUUUAUUCCUAUAUGUUUGUAAAUUUGUAAAUACAUUGGACAUAAUCAGCAUGCUGUUGUAGGCUGUAUAUAUGUGUUCUGGAAGUGUAACACAAUAAUUUUAUCUUCGUUGUUUACUGGACGUAGAAUAUCAUUCAAGGACGAAUUCAUGGCAUCAUACUGUAUCAUGAUCUCAUUUUCUUAAUCCUUUUUUUUUUUUCGACAUUGUUGUUAUUAAUUUAUUAGGUUUCUGUGAAUUAUUGACAUUGUGGAGAAGGACUAUUAUCAUUUAAGUCUUAUAAAUAAACUAGGAAAUGUGUCGCAUUUGUCAGUGCGGUGGUUGUUUCUAUCUAAGGAAAAGGAAAAUCGUAGCCAGCAAGUUAUAUAAUAUAUAUAUAUAUAUAUAUAGAGUCCAACUACGGUGCAUUUGAAAGUAUAAAUGAGUUGGUAUGUUUAAAUUUUUAAUUUUUGAAUCCAUUUUUUUGAUCAUUUUUAAUUUUUAAAUUAAUAUUAUUUUUCUAAGAAGACCACUAAACUCUAUAAUAGUAUAUCAGUCUAGCUCUCUCUCUCUCUCUCUAUAUAUAUAUAUAUAUAUAUAUUCUUGUGGGUGUUUUUUAUUUAUUUAUUUAUUUUUCAUUUUGAAAGCAGAUAGAAGUUUGCUUAUAAAUUUUUAUGAGGUUCCAGUAAUUCUCUAUUAUUAUGAAGUAAUUUAUUCAAAUUCUAAGAAGCAAGGUUUUAAGUGUCCAUCGGCACGGACCGUAUCCACUGUGCUGUACAGUGCCAACAAGAUACCGGUACGAUACAGACCUCGUGCCGAUGCCAGAGCUUAAAACCCUCUAUUUUUUAAAUUAGUAAGUAAUUUUUUCAAUAAAGUUCAAAAGAUGUGAUAAAAAGAAAAAAUAAAUAGUUAGAAUAUUUUGUUGCUAAAGAAAAUAAAUAUUUUAUACUAUUAUGUGUCAGCACAGAAGAAUUUUUUUUUACCGGCACACAUCGGCAUGGCUCGGCACGCAUCGUGUUGUACCAUACCGGCAAGUUUCCAACACGGCCCCGUGCCACGGCACUUAAAUUCUUGCUAUGAAGUAAUUUAUCUUAUUUGAUUUGCAUGGACAAACAAAAUGAAAUCAUAGAGGUAUGCCUUUUUGCAGUUUCUCAUCUACUAAAUUAUUCACGUCCUUAAUUUGAGUAAAUACGAAAGAUGUGUUAAACAAAAAUAUUUAUUCAACCAAUUUAACAAUUAUAGAAAUUGAAUAAAUUAUAAUAAAAAAAAUUAAAUUGGCCUAUUAGCUCAGUUGGUUAGAGCGUCGUGCUAAUAACGCGAAGGUCGCAGGUUCGAAACCUGCAUCGGCCAUUAAAUAAAUUGUUUUUUUUUAUUUCAUUAAUUUUUUUGUUUGUCCUUGUGCACUUUUACCAUUAUUUUAGCAUACAAUUUAGAUCUACUCAUUCAAUAUUUAUAACAAUUAAUCACUCUUUUCAUUUUUGUAUAUUAAAUGGAAUUUGUAUCAGUGAAAACUAAAUUAUACCUGAUUAGGCAACAAUGCUAUCUCCAUGUUUCUUCGAAAAAAAAAGAGGGGUUAAAAAAAAAAAAAAAGGUAGCUCCAUGGUUUAAAAUUUGAGUAAUACAUCAAUACAUCAUAUAAAUCUUAACCAUUUAUUUUUCUUAAUAGAUAGUUUAGAUUUAAUAUGACUCUAGAGGUGGCCUACUAUUGAAGCAUAGGCACAAUUCACGAGGUACCUAUUUAAAGGAUAUUUUAGUCUUUGUAAAAUAUUUUGGUCUACAAAAUCAGCUUUAUCCAACUAAAAAUACUGUAACAUUUUCAAAUGCCUACAGCAAUAGUUGGACUUCAAAUUACAACAAAAUUAUAAAUUUAAAUUCAGAACAACAUUUAAAACUUAAUUAUAAAUCAAAUUCAAUUUUUUUAAAUAUAAAACAUAAAUUUAAAAUAAAACUUUCAGUUCUAAUUCAAAAUUUUAAUUUAAAUCAAAAAAUUAAAAUUUGGCUUUAAGAUUAAAAGUUCAAUUUAGAUUCAAAUUUAAAAGUUUAAUAUAAAUUUCAAAAUUCAAAUUUUACAUUACAAUACUAACUUCAAAAAUUAAAUUUAAAUUCAAUAGUUUUUUGAGCUAGAUACUUAACAAAUUGGAUAUUAUCUAAUUUGGUAAGUUACCAAAGUAAAUAAGAUAUUUAAUAUUUAUAGGAUACUGACAAAUUUGGUAUAUACUACUAAUUUUCUUUUCCAAUACUAUCAUAUUAAUUGAUUCAAAUCGGUAACCUGUUCAACAGGUUACUUCAUGUAAAACCCAACUAUACCCUUUAUUAAUUAAGAAUUAGAUUUUUAUAUUUAUGGUGUAUUGAAGCAUCCCUUUUAAAAUUUUGGAACCUAAUUAGUACCUGCCUCCUUAUCAUAAACCUCUUUUUCUGCUUGUAAAGCAAUUGUAGGUAACAAAACAAUAUUAAAUGUACAAAAAAGAAAUGUCACAUGCAUUUCUCAUUAAUAUAUAUCCUCCAAACAAGUGGGGAAUGCAUGGAUUUGUCCUCUUUGCUACUACCUGUUGUUCCAUCAAUUUGAGACAUUAUGCACCACAAACAUUAAAGAUUCAUAAAAGGAGUUGCUUCUCCUUGACUUUUCAAUUAGAUUAUGACUAUUCUAUGCGAAAUCUAGCAAGCCUACUAAGCUUUAUUGGCCUCAUCCCACUCAACAAUCAAAGGCAAAUUAGGCACUUGUGGGUGUAAGAUGCCCAAAAUCUCUGCAGCUCCUUAGAAAUGAAUGGAGGUGAGCAAUGGAAAACAACUAGUCAUGUACAAUAAUAUACUGUGGACAAUAACUUUGGCAAUUGAGAUCUAUGAAGAGACAUAUUUAAGAGAUUUGUGGAUGUUAUGGCCUUGUAAAUAUAUAGCUUUACAAAGCCUCUGCAUAUAUGCGUGUGCACUACCAGUUUUACUAUUCAAGAUAUGGUUGGAUACUUAAUUUGUGGGGCUAUGCUGGUUCUUUGAUUUAUAACAUGUUAACUAAUAUCUGCUUUGAGUAGUACUUAAGCUUUUAGGAUUUUUGAUUUUUCUCUCUCUAGAUUGAUAAGAAUUUAUAGAAGAUGAGAGGAUGAGGUGAUGUUUAGUGUGAUGAUGCACAUGUGAUGCAUCUGUAUUGUUGAAUGAUUAGUGUUGAUGUAAUCUUUUCAAUGUAAUAGAUCCAAAAUUUAGCCCAACAUGUCUAAUUUUUUUAUCUUCUUUUGUCACGUUUCGAUUUGCUUUAAUAAAUUAUUUUUUUAAUAUAUAAUUUUUUCGUUCUGCCAUUCCAUUUAGAUUUAUAUUUUGGUCAUGUAUAUAAAGUGCUCAAUAAAUUUUAGUAAAGCAACUUUUUAUAUGAUUGUGAAAGGGACACUCACAUUUUGCUUGUAAAGCAUUUAGUAAAUUCUAGUAAAGAAACCUUUUCUCCCCCUCUUUUUACACCUCCCAAAAAAAUUUAUAAAUAUCUUCAAUGUGAGAUAGCAAAUGGCUCAGGAUAAUACAAUAUGGUUGUUAACAUUAUUUAAUUCAAAAUUGUUUUUUGUCAAAUUAUUAUUUUCAGUAACAUAGCUCAUAAUGAAGAUUAGAUGGAUUACACAUGUGCAUAUCCCUGGAACUAUUAUCGAAUUAAAAAUAGGAUUAUUUAAAAGUUCGCAUAUAUUUAUGAUGUAAAGUUGUGCCUACAGUUGAAGGGGCCGUCAUAUAUAUAUAUAUAUAUAUAGAGAGAGACCGGCUGGGAUACUAUCGAUAGCACCAAGAGUUUGGUGCUAUCGAGUUUUUUACCGUUAGAUUUAACCUUGAUUAGUUUUAUCCGUUAGAUUGUACUAUUCAACCAACCACCCGCUCAACCCUAGGGGGGCCACAUCAUCCUAACCGCAUAUUUUUCAAUCCAAGGAAUAAAAAAUUAAUAGCAUCAAUGGCUUGGUACUAUUAAGGGCCCGUUUGGUUCGAGUUAUGUAAUAUUACAAAGUAUCUCGACAUAUCCAGGUAUUUUAGAUUUCGGCGUGAGAUUACUACUGAUGCUGUAUUAGCGCGUUUGGUUUAAUGCAGUAAUGUAAUACUAGAUUACAGUGUUUAUAGCAUUAAUACUUUUGGUUCAGUUUAUAAAAUUUAGUAAUCCUGACAUAAAAGUAUAGUUUUUCCAAAAUUGCCCUUGUUGUGGUCAUUUGAAUAUUAUUUUUUGCGAAAAUGACGAAUGGAGGGAAAGAGAUCGUGAUGAUUACCUGGGAGGACGACGCAAUAGAAAAUGAUAGGUGUUCGUGCGAGAGAGAGAAAGAGAGAGAGAUAGAGAGACAUCGAGAGGGAGAGAAAGCGGCGUGCGAAAGAGAGGGGGAAGGCGAGAGAGAGAUGAAAAUAAUAUUGUUAAUUAGAUUUGGGGUUGUUGGAGGGUAAAAUUGCCAUUUUAAAUAAUAUAUAGUAUUAACGGGUUUCAGUAAUGCAAGAUACACGACCCCCCUCCCGUUAAUAUUUUCGAUGUAAUCCUGCUCGAUUUGUAAUGCUACAUUAACGACUAGAUUACAUAGCGGAUUAACCAAACACAGUUAUCCUGGCAGGAUUGCCUGUAAUCCUGCCAGGAUAACUCGAACCAAACGCACCCUAAAGCAAAAACCACGGCCGCCAACUCCAAGUCGUGGGUUGGAUAGUUUCUUUCAUAUUCCUUCAAUUGGCGAGAAGCAUACGCAAUCACUUUCCCGUCCUGCAUCAAAACACAGCCCAAUCUAUUAAAGGAAGCAUCACUAUAAAUCACAUACCCUGCUCCAGCAGUCGGCAAGGUAAGAAUCGGGGCGGUCGCCAACCUCUGCUUCAACUCUUGGAAGCUCAUUUCACACGCGUCAUUCCAAAUGAACUUAACACCUUUAUGCGUGAGCCUCGUGAGGNAGCCUCUAUAUAUAUAUAUACACACACACACUAACAUUUAAACUAUAAAUAAAAAUUCCCAUACACUUAUGAUUUAAACUUGUGCCUAUAAUUGAAGGGGUCGUCGUACACACACACACUAACAUUUAAACUAUAAAAAUGAUAUUUUAGGAAACAUAGUAUUACUCUCCGAACAGAUUUAAAGAUAAAUGUGUACGAACAAUGCUACUUUUAUGCAUAUUUAUUUAUAGGGUGUGAAUUAAUUAGUAUUUUUUAUUGUGUGUAGAUGCAAACACAAUCAAUUAAAGAUCCCCACCUCCUAUUUGAGUCAAAAGUUUAUAAUUAAUCCUUUGGAAAGCUUUGUGGAUCUUCAAUUGUGAUUAAAGGAAGAGAGAGGAGGGAAAAGAAAGAAAAGAUAUCAUGGUCACUCCGAGGGCAUUAAUUGCGUUACCAGAUAUACGUAAGCAAUCUCGUUUUACAGGAUUUAAUGUACAAAAGCCACAAAAGUCUUUCUCUACCCUAUCUCCAAAAGAGGAGUGCUAGGGCUACAAUUUAUUAUGAGUUGUAAUCACAGAAUUUCUUUUUUUUUUUUUCUCUACUUACAUAUUAUUUUUAAAAUAAAAUUUAAAAUGGGUCAGUAAAUUCUACACCCCUUAGAUAAGGGAGAUUCUAUUUUUCUAAAGAAAAAAUUCAACGACUAUAUAUGGAUCAAGUUAGAUAAAGAAUACAAAAACGACCAAUUUCGUUUAUUUUUUUAGAAAUAAAUAUUACUUAAUUGAAAAUGUAAAACAAUAAGAUUUUGAAGUUCCAAUUUCAAGUAAUAAUUAUCAAACUCUUUAUGACUUGCGCUGGAAACAGUCAUCGACAAAUUUACAAUAUUAAAUAAUAUAAGGGAUUAUCAAUACACCUGACAUCAAGAGUUAGAGUCUCUUUAUCCAAGUAGUUAUCCCAACUUGCCAAAAUAAAAAUCUUACUCACCAUCAGGCCAAAGUUCAUACUCCUCAUCUUAUUUGUUGAAUCUCACACCACAAUAUAUGGUUAAGAGUUGUUCAACAUUUAUAGCUGAUGUGGUCCUUUAAAUUGGCUUGAGAUCGACUUAGCUUUAGUUGAGACUUAUCUAUAUAUAUAUAUAUAUAUAUACAAGAUGAGCUUAUGAACCAACCCAAGUGGGUGGGUUGGAUUCAUUAUCUCAAAGAGUGAUUUUAAGUUCCUCCUUUAACCCAACAUCUUUAUUGCAUCGAGCCGAUUGAGGUCAACAACAAUCCCAUCCAUUCAUAGCAAAGCCAAAAAAGUUGACUAAGGCACACAAAUAAUGUUCAUUCCCACAACCUCAAUCACAUCUUAGAUUUCGAUAUGUAAAGAGGGUCACCACUAAUUAAUUUGUGGUUCUCCAAUCUAUUAUUUAUACUCUAAAACAUAAAAUAGUUUUGGAGUAUUAGAAAUGAAUUUGAAUUUGAAUUAGAAAUUAGCUAGUUCAAAUGAUAUGAGCUAGAAUUCUACUUAAGAUGGGGCUAAAUUAAUUUUUGUUAUUAUCUUUUUAUGAACCAGGAGCUUAGCCUCCAACGUCUGAGUCUCCCCCCCGGAAAUUGAAUUCGAAACCUCACCCUUCUCUCUUCGCGCCUUAAUCACAGAAAAUCGAUCGCUUGUUGAGAGUUUUCUCCCAAAUAAGUCAGCUCCGCGUAAUUGUACUUUUGCUAGUUUGCUCUGGGAGUCGAAAGGGGAUCGCUCAGAGGAAAGGAGUUAGCGACAAUCACCACAACGUGGUUAGUCAUUUAGUUAAUUGGAGCGUAAUAGAAGAAUCUUGCAAAAAACCAAACGUACGUGACGAGUUUAUUAGGGUCUGAGAUUCGCUCGCUUAGGAACAAUUGGAAUCUUUUUUGCUAUAUAUAUAUAUAUAUUAUUUUUAUUUAUCCCAAGGUCCAGUUGCUUUAUUUUGUAGCCCAAUUCAUACUCUAAAUGAAUGAAUCGGUAGCAUGCUACCUUUCUCUCUCUAAAAAAAAAAGUCUAACAAUAUGAACAUACUAAAUUAUUGAGAUUAUAUUCGGAACAAUUGUAGAUAUUUAAAUUAGAUCAUUCAUCAUGUACAUAGAAUUAGUUAGCUAUGUAUUAAUAAAUGUAAAUUUAUUCCAUGUCUUUAAAACUAGGCAUAAAAUUUCUACUAUACUAUAUUUUUAUAUUAGAAAUACUAGAUUCGACAACAUAACUAAUUACCAUCUAUGUUUCUCUCUAAAAGUUGUACAAACCUCAUCAUGCAUUGCCUUUCACACUAGAUAGUGCUCGAUCUUGAGUUAGGUUGCAUCCUUAUAAACUCCUCUUUAUCCUACAAAUAUUAGACAACAUAACUAAUUACCAUCAAGUGCGUCUCUACAAAAAGCCAUACAACUGAUCUCCUUCUAUCUUGCAUAACAUUUUAGUGAUAUAUGUUAGAAUUAAAAGUGAGAAGAUCUAGUCCGUCGGGUGAGAAAAUAUCAAAAAAGAUUUGAAAAAGAGAAAAAAAAAUAAAGCACAUAAUAUUUACGUGGUUCGGCCAUCGGCCUACGUCUACGGGCAAAUACGGAGCAGAGAUCUUCAUUAUAAUGAAAGUGGUAUACAAAAUAUGCCUCUCUCACGAAACCCUAAUCCCAAAGAAUUAAUAUACCCAUAUUUUCUCUCUCAUUUUCCGCACCAAAUCAAUAGCAUAUUUUCUCUCUCAUUUUCCGCACCAAAUCAAUAGCAGAAAGGGUAUACUUAUAAUAGUGGCUAAAUCCUAACACAAUUAGAAAUACAAACACACUAAGAUUAUGAAUAUCUCAAUAAGAUUAGGCAUAAUAUAAACUUAACUUAAUGGGAUAAUCAAAACAGAAUAGAGUUAGAAAACCUUGCGCUACUAGAAUUCGAGACAUAUCUAACAAUAUAUAACUCAUCAUUCCUAGUGCAUAUGUUAAAGAACUUGAUGGUUGAUAUCCAAUGUUUUAAGUUCAGAACUUUGUUGCUUUAUAUUUUCAAUUAAAUUUAUUUUUAAAAAAAUUAAAUGAAUCAAUGAGCAUGUGCUAAAUUUCUCGCUAAAAAAAAUAAUUAGAAAAAAACUUUUUAGUGGUGGUACGUAGUGUUCUUAAGAUAGGGUGCACACUCCAUCACUAUCCAUCACCUUCACACACCCCACAAUUAAAAAGAACCACCCCUCCCACACACAGCAUGCAGAGAACAACACACUCAUCCAUGCCCACUUCCAUAACAACUCACUGCCGCGACAGCUCCGACGACGAGCUCGAUGUCUUCGAGGCAGCACGCUACUUCUCUGGCGGGUUCGAUGGUCUCAUUACCGGUCGACUCAGUUUCCAAAGAACGUUGAGGCAAGAGCUCUUGUUCAAGGGAGACAGAAGGAGCUUAGACAUGCCCAUGAAGAAGCCUAAGACACCAAGUUCUCAGGAGCCAUGCAAGAUGGAAAGGAAUUAUAAUGAGAUAAAGAGUAAGCAACCCAGCUCCCCAGGUGGCAGCAGGUUGGCUAGCUUUUUGAUCUCUUUGUUUCAUCAAAGAAGCUCCAAGAAGAAAACAACCAAGUCCCCGGUCACCACCACUCAAUCUAUGAAGGAUGGGAACCUCGCAAUGAUCAAGCAUGGGCAAGAGAGGAGGAGGAGGAAGAGCACUAGCUACUCCCAAAACAUUAGUGGUGAUCAUAACAGUUACUCCAAGUCCAUGCACUACUCCUCUAAGAGUAGUAGUGGAUUUAGGACCCCUCCACCUUUACCAUGCAUGCCAAAAGAGAAGGUAACCACUUCUUCUUUGGGAGGUAGAGUUCAUGGAAGUGGUGAUCAUCAUGAUCAUAGUCAUAAUGGAAAGAGUAGUGUCAGGGAGGAGGGUUUUAUGAUGAAAAAUGUGGGAUUUGGGAGGAGAGAGAAGGAAGAAGAAGCAGGAGAAGGGAGUAGUGAUUCAAGCUCUGAUCUCUUCGAGUUGAAGAACUAUGGCAUGGAGGAUUUCUCAAGCGGCGAUUUUCCUGUUUAUGGCGCAACUAAUGCAGGGAUCAUCAGUAGUAAUUAGGGAUCUACAGUUCCAAGUGUUGCUUUCUAAUUAAUGUAAUUGUUUAUAUGUUUGUCAUAUAGCUCGAUUAGAAAAGUACUUGUCAAUUUGCUGGUUUGAACAAAUUAAUGGCUCUUAAUCUUAAUUAAUUAAUCUUGUCUUCAAGUUCAUCUAAACUCGCAUCUUCAAGUUCAUCUAAACUCGCAUGAGCUUAUUAUUCUUUGAGUUCUCUCUCUCUCUCUCUCUCUCUCUCUCUCUCUCUCUCUCUCUCUUUGCCAUUUUAGCUAAUGUUGGUCUCCUUAUACAUUCUACUUGAUCUUCAGUACUUAAUGCACGGAUUUACACUCAAUACUAUAUAUAUAACGGUAAAAAACUCGAUAGCACCAAAUCCUUGAUGCUAUCGAUAGUAUCCUAGCCGGACUCUAUAUAUAUAUAUAUAUAAAAGUAUAUAUAUAAAAGAAACACGAGCUGAUUGGCACAUUUUUAUUUUCUGUGAUCUUAAUGCACUAAAUUGUAGGGUUGAUAUAAGCAACUAAGCAAACAAUUUAGAAGUUAUAAGCAAUUAAGUAAACAAUUUAGAAGUAAGGUUGUCUCAAUUGGACGUAUGUGGGGACAAUUCGCCAAAUUAUCUACUUGAGAAUGUAGGAUCUAUUGUCGGGCCUUGGAUUCCAUAUCUCCAGAUAAUUUAGUAAGUUAAUUGAAACUUUUCUUCUUUCAACUAUUAGCAGAUCCCAAUUUUUUUUAAAACUAGUUAACUAAAAAGCCCAAAACAUGCACAAAAAAUUUACAACAAUUUUUUUUAAUUUUUUUUGAUAAAUUUUUAACCUUACUCUAACCAUUUUAGCAAUAAAGUUGCAAUAUUGAAUAGUAAAAACCCAAUAAGGGUUGCCUAAAUCUUAGAAUAGAAAAUAUUUUAUUUGUUAAGUUACUAUGUUUUUUUUUUAAAAAAAAUUUACUAAAAACCCAAUAAGGUUGCCUAAACCCUAAAAUGAGAAAUAUUUUAUUUUCUGAGUUAAUAUUUUAUUUUUAUUUUUUUAUAUGAGUUAUUACUUUUGAGUUAACAUGUCUAAAAUAUAUUUCAAAUUCGUUAAUAGUUGAAAGAAAGUAAAUUUCAACUAUUUUACAAAGUUGUCUGGCGAUGUGAGAUCCAACGCCUACGUGAUAAUAGAUUCCACAUUCUCAAAUGAAUGAUUUGGAUGGAAAAUUUUCCUCGCACAAUCAACCCUCUCUCUAUUAUGUAAACUGAUUUAACCAUUUUAAUUUAGUACUUUAUAUGGCAUAGAAAUAUGGGUGAAUUCAAGGAAAAUUAAGGACCCGCUCAAUUUUCUCAGCAGUAUAUAUCUCUACAAUCACUUCCAUCAAAAGUAUAUAUCUUUUAUCUCCCAUACACGGUACACCCUUUUGCUGCGGUACUGCAAUUUGGUCCACCACUGUAAAAACGAACCUGUCAAAAGGCUCAUUCAAUUUUACAGUGCGAUGGCAAAGGGCUUGGUGGUUGGUACCCAAAAUCCAAGUUCGAAUUCUAGUUGAUUCACAUUUCCAGCUAAUUAAGUUUAUUUCUAAAUAAAAUAAACGAAGCGGGUAGCAUGCUACCUAUCUCUCAAAAAAAAAAAAAUUUACAGUGCGAUGUGGCCCCACCAUCAUAUAUAUUUUACUGUGGGUUGUAGUGUUGUACCAGUACUGUAAGAUCAGUGUGUGUUGAAUAAUAUAAUUUGUAGUUUUUUAAUAUCAAACUCCCUCUCAUGCAUACUGGGGCUUAAAUCUUUUAAUAGGUUUCAGAUAUAAACUUGAACUAAAAUAAAAAUAAAUUAAGUAACAGAAGUAGAAUAUAGCUAAGAGAGGAACUCAAAAUUUACUGCUAUGAUACCAUGUAAAAUUUUGGGAGAGCUUAAUCACUUCAUUAAAAACAUCAAGUUUAUUUGGACAUAUGUAAGAGUUGACUUCUGAAUGUACGUUCUUAAAUACGCUACCAUUAUUUUAUCCAAAAAUACUGUGAUACGAAAAGUAUAUGAGAAAUGCAUGCAUGCAAUCAAGCGCAAGUAAGUUGCACUCAAUUUGGCUAAAUUGGUGCGCAUGAUUGGUGCAGUCAAUCACAACAAAUAAAUAAUUUAUUAAUCAUCGCUAGACUUGUCAAUCUCUAUCUAUACCCACAGAUUACCCACAAAUAUACAGUUAUAGAUAUUAGUUUUUUUAUCCAAAAAAUUAUAGAUAAAACUGGUGAGUAUCCGUUAAAUGGUAGACAUUUUGGACAACCGACCGCGAGUCCCACAUAUACCCGCAAAUAUAUUUUUUAAUUAAAAAAUAUAUAAUCUUUAUAAUAUUGACUUUCUAAUAAUAAAAAUUUUAUUAAUUUUGUAUAUAAAAAUUUGGGAUGAUAAAAUAUUUUUUAAUUAUACAAUUUAUGCGCUUUAAGAUUUUGUAUUGUUUAUUGUAUAUUAUGAUAUUUCAAACAAGAAGUUAUAUUAUACUUUUAAAAAUUUUAUAUAUGUAUUUUGUAGUUGAAAUGUAUUGGAGUUAAAAAUAAGAUAAAAUCUUGCGGGUAACCCGCAUACCCAUCUGCCUGUUUGUUGGCGGAUAUGAAUAAAGAUGUUGACUACUCAAAAAUUUAUUUUAUCCAUACUCAUAUAUAAUUCAUAGAUACAAUAAUCCAUCCGUGAAUUACCCAACUCAUCCAUUUUCCAGUUCUAAUCAUGGCAAUUGAUGAAGGGCUAAUAGAGGUGUAUAUUUGUAUUUUAUACAUCCGGCCCGGUCCGAUUCUUUUAAGACUAAUUAGGGUCGUGUCAAAAUAGGCUUGGUCCAGAUCCAAGUGAUGAUCCUAACCUUGUGGAUCAAUUAAUUAAGGACAAGUCCAAAUCGAAUACACAUGUAUACAUGAAUACCAGCUAUAGUGACCAACCAUGUCCCCCCAUCUCUCGAGCAUAUUCCAAGGUACGUUUUCUCUUUUUUACUGGGGAAUUUGAUACGUUAAAUUUUGCUUCUAAAACCCUGAAAAGGCAUAUAAUUGCUUUGUUAGAUCUAAAUUCUGUUCUUAAUUUCAACUCUAUUGUUACCUAAAAUGUUCGACUGUGAUAUAAAUAAUAUUAUUUUUAGAAACCUACCUACUAACGUGAUCUCAGCUGCUCAGCGUAUUGGAGUGCAGGCGAAGGAGUGGGCUAAUUUUUGUAGAGCCGGAUGACGGCGGUGUUUGCUAUACAUUUUGUUUUGACGCUUGUUUCUGCUUCUACUUUGAUUUUUCUUUUAAGUUCUUUUUUUCUUUGAUUUUUUGCCUUUUUUGAGGCUUUAACUGUCUUACUUUAUAUAGCUAAAUUUAUUUAUUUAAUGAAUAAAACAUGUAGCGUGCUAUCUUUUCUGAAAAAAAAAGUUCAACUGUGUAACUUAUUUGUAUGUAACGUAAUAAAAGGGCAUGUUAAUUAGUUGAAUCCAUAGGAAAAGAACUAAUGGUUUAGUAACCCGUUCUCUUCUACAUUUAAAAUUUUAAACCCUUGAUAUUUAAUACUUGAUCUCUGAUUUUUGCAUGCAGCUUAAUUCUAGCUGUAUUGAAUUUAUCAGGACUACUGAUGUCUUUGUUAGCUACCUAUAUAUAUAUAGCGUGUAAUUUUGAUUAUUCUAUUGAUUCUUCAGCAAUGCAUGUAAUCAUCAGUGAUUAAUUGCUUCAUGUUUGAUUUGCCUGUUUUGUGAAUAAUUUCUGCAUAUAUAUAAAAUUGGGUUUCUGGUUUGGUUACUCCAAUGUAAUAGUUAAAUUUGAAAAGAUCUUGCAGAAUUUUUGUAACGGCGGGUACAAUUAGGGGUUCAAUUAUUGCUACGGCCUACUCAGCCCCAACAAUUAUAAUUUAUACUUAUUUACAUAUAACUUCUAUUACAUUCAAUGAAACAUAUAGGCGAUGCCCUAUACGUUCCUUUCAAAAAAAGAGAUUUUUUGUAGGUUUUUGCGUCUAGCUACUGGAACACCUCCUGAUUCAUUCUCCAACCUACCAAAAUUCUACAAACUAGAGAGACACAAUUGUGAUUUGUGAGAGAAUCGGACAAAUAUUAAUUCCUUAGCCUCUUAAAAAUCUCCACAGGAUGGCAACUCUGAACAUGACAUAUAUAUACAUUCAAUUAACAUGGAAUGAAGUUACAAAAAGAAAUUCAAAAUCAAUAUGACAAGAAUCUAGCUAAUCAGAACGUAACACGACAUGACAUGAUAUGACAAAAAUGAGACACCAGUUAAUUUUUGAGCAUGCGUUUGAGAUACUAUUAAAUUAAGUUCGACUUUUGCGUAUCUUUAUAUAGGCAUGAUCACUAAGGUAAUUGCUGAACACGAACGCAACUUACGAAACUGAAAUGCUAAUAACUUGGGAUGUUCUCUCCAAAUGCUAGUGACUCCGAGUGCAUGCGCGCACAAUAUAUACAUUUUUGUUGUGUAUGGGAGUUCAUGCAAGCUUUUGAGUUUGUCUAAAUGCGGUAUUACUCAAAUGAAAGAUGCAUACAUACUUGACAACAUGAAAUUAUAAAAUAUAAAUAUAGUGUAUCGGCCAGGUUCAUAUUUUAGAAGGGGAUCUAAAAUCCCACCGACAAGCAAAAUUCAAUAAGUUCACAGAUGGUAAAAGCUUGAUAUGUCGAUGUCGCAAACUAAUCCUUACGCUCCAUUGGCUUGAAAACAUCGAAGCUGUUAAUGGGGAGACCGUUACUUCUUUCCUGCAGAAACAAAUCCAAAACCAUACAUCAUCUCCUCCCCAGAGAUACUCCUUUGUUCUAUAUAUAGAAGAAAUAUUUUAUGACUAACUUAGAAGGGUAUGAUGGUGAAUAUAUAGUUGUUCUAAAUGUUAAACUUAACACAAUUUGGUCUCUUAUCUUUCUCUUAACAAGAUUAGUCCCCUAACUUAUGUAAUCUCUGGCAAUGUUGUUCCUAUAUAUAUUAUGCUUCAGGGUUUAUUACACUCUUUUGCUCGUAGCAUGCGUUAGAGUAUUUUAAAUGAAAAUAAACAUAGGGAUGACAUUACAAAAGCUUAGGUAAAUUCAGGCUAAUGUGUUUAAAUGAAAGAUUAGGGAACAAAAUGCCAUCUCUUGGUAGUUUAGGUUAUAUUUUAUCAAAUUCAAAAUUAAUACUUACAUGCGAAAAGGACAUUGCUCUUACCGCUACAUUGUUCUCAGAGGUUGAAACAGUUGAGCAGCGAGGAUCACACUUAGCCCACUACAAUUAAUGGAUCCAAAUCAACAGAAACAUGGAAUAAAAUUUCACAAAGAAAAUUGGUUACUUAUAAGAUUAAUUCAGUACAACAAAUCUGAAAAUCAAAGUUCAUGGAGUAUUGGCUUACAUUUUUUGCAGCCAUGCUAAAGGCCUCUCUGUGAGGGAUAUCAGGUUUCACAGCUUUGAUUCGCUGUAUUUCUUCCCUGUCAUGCAUUUUUGAUUAUCUUAAUUUGAAGGGACCUUGCAGGCUAAACAAUUUACGAACUGGCAAGUAAAAUGACUUCCUACUUAUCAGUCAAGUCUCUUUUUUUUGACAUGACUAACGGUUAUCGAAGAAAACUGAUAGACAGAUCAGACCCAUGAAAAGGUAAAUAGUGCAAUUAUAUAUGUGGCUCUUUCCUCUUUAUUUUUUAUAAUUCCGUGUACGAUUUGCGAAUGCUCAGAGAGGUUUGGCAUGCAUAUUUUCUCUCUUUUUGAAUCAUAUAUAAGACGAGAGAUUAAGAACAUUUGCAUAUGAUUAGGUUGUAAAUACAUUUGAAUUUGGAUCAAUAAAAUAUAUUAUGAUGAAACAUAAGUUAACUAUUGUAUACCUGUAUAUAAAACUGAAAUAACAACGUGCUGGCUACAUUACGAAUUCCUAUUAAAUUUAUGCUGAUAUUAGAUCAUUUACAUUGCUUUAGCCUAUUGUUUUGAUAUGUCUAAUUCAAAAUUUAUUGGUCAGCUGAACCCCAAUCCACUUAACAAAAGAGAAAAAGAACCAUAAUUAAUACAUGUAGAAAAUUAAAACAGUAGAUCAAAUUAUAUGCAAACUUAUGGGGAAAAAUUGCAUAAUUAAUUGUAAAGAGCAUACAAUGUAAACAUUAGUGAUGAUUGAGAAUCCUUAUCAUAUAUAUAGAGACCUUAGGAGUUAAAUUACAUUCUUUAUAAUCCAGUAGAUUGAACCCCUUUCCUUGUUACCCCACCUGUUGCCUCUCAAUCUCUCGUAUUCAUCAUGCACAUGGAAGAAGAAUAUUCAUUCUUCCUGGAUCUUUUUUUUUUUUUAUCAAAUUAAUCCCUUCAUCAGUAAGUAUGUAGGUAUAUUUAUAUGUAACGUACUGCAUUGGUAGGUAUAUAUACAGUCAUAUAUAAUUAUAUAUUAUCAUUAGCAAUAUAUAUCACAAGGUUUGCACUUCUCUAUUCCUGCAAAAGUGUAAAGAAAUUGUGCAAUUCAACCAAAUGAUUUAGAUUUUCUUGCGCAUCCAUCCCUUGCGAAGUAUAAACAUAUGAUAUUUAGUAUUUAUAGUUAGAAAGAAGAUGUGAUAUUAUGUAGCUAUAGAAGUUCAAUUCAUGGAGACUGAACUGGUCAAUUUAUUGUUAUCGAGCUAUUGACGAUUUGUUUCAUUUGGCAUGUUUGGCAGUAAAUCUGUUUCCAUGUAAUCUGCUUUUGUGUAUGUAAGAUACAAAUCUGUAGUUUAGCGAGCCUCCUUAUAUGAUUAUAUAUUUUUAUCUUAACAGUUUAAUGAGCCUUCUUACAGACCGACACGAUAACAGUAUACUGCGACAACUUAGGAUGAGCUCUUGUCAAACAAUAGAUCUCAUGGCACAUAUUGCUGUAAAAGAAUUUCUUAUGCCAGAAAAAAGAAGCACAAGCCUUACUUCAUAAAGCGAUUGUAAGCUGACGGAAGUCGAUGUUUCUUUUCAGGAGCUGCCACCAAGAAAUAAACCAAAAUAGAAAGAGGAAAUUAAAGAGAAUUAAUUUGGGGAAGCAAAAACAGGAAAUUAUUAAGGUUAUAUAUAUGUUCCCGACAUACGUUUAACAACAAAUGGUGCUUUGGUGGUUGUCUGUUCGCUUGACAUCGAUGAGUUAGACGGCGAAGGUUGCAAUCUCCUACAAUCGUUGCAGGGACCCUAAUUCAAAGAAAUUAAAGAGUCAUUUAAUUUUCCUCAGUAUAUUGCCAGCUAUAUAAUAUUCAAAGAAAACAUAGAAGCUAUAAAUUUUCCUCAUUAUAUUGUCAGCUAUAUACAUAAUCAUUUCCAAUCAAUAGCUUAUGUUUCAGUAAACAUAGCCAUUUAAUUUUUUUUUUCUUUGCAAAAAUAUUCAAAGAAAACAAAAAAUGAAUAUAUACAUGUACACAUAUAUCUAUGAGCAUUUUUGGACUAUUAAUAUUAUAUCGAUAUUCUUAACAUAAAAAAAAGGGACGAAAAAAACAGUUUGCACUAAUAAUAGGUAAGAAAAUUAAUUCGGCAAAAGUGGGAAAUAGCUGAACCUGAAAACACAUUUGUUGAUGAUCAGUAGGGCAAACGGGUUGCACCAUAGGCCUUGGGCUAAGGAAGGAGAGAUUGUUGCAGUGUCCACAUUUCACAGUAACAGUGUCCAUUAUCCUCUUGCAUGGAACCCCAACCUGAAAACCAAAUCCAUCACACCACAUGGGAUUAUUAAAAACAUAAAAAGCAAGAUACUCUUUGCAUGCACCCUCCCCCUAUAAAUUUAUAAUAUAUAUUAUUCUCAUGCAUUUUAAUUUUUACUUUCUGGUAGUUGUAGAUCAACCCUAGGGCACUUAGCCGUAUAGGGGACACUUCUUUUAAUGGGGAAAAUAUAUGAACUACUCUGAGGACAAGCCACUACAGUCGCACGUAAUCUUCUUUCAUAAUUAACUUUAGGUUUGAGAGGUCCAAUCCAAAGAAAUUAAGUAUAGAGUCUAAGGCAUUGGUCGAAGGGGGUAUAAUUUAAUUAAUUCCAAGUCCACAAAGCUAGCUAGCUAGAUAAAUAUGUUACAAGGUUGAAAGAUGCCCUUUUUUUUUUAAUGCAAUACUGUACAACCCUGUUGCAUUAAAAAAAAAAAGAAGAAAAAAAGCUAGUUAGAUAAAUAUGUUAAAAGGUUAAAAGUAAAGUGAUCGCUUGACCAGAAGAAACUAGAGUUGAUCAGAGAGAGAGAGAGAGAGAGAGAGAGAGAGAGAGAGAUGAUAUCAAAUGCAUGCAUAAAGAUCUGCAUAGAGAGAAAGAAAUGUUGGGUAAAAAUGAUCCAGCAAUCACAAACACGAGUGGAUCGAUCUCUUUCUGAGUAUUCUCGAAGAGAUCAUUACCGCGAGAACGGUGUUACAGUAGGUGCAACGAACGUAGCAAAGGUGCUCCGAGGGAGAAACCAAGUCCAUGAUCGAUGAGGAGAAGUAAAAGAAGAUGAGGAUGAGGAUGAGGAUGAGGAAGAAGAAGAGAGGAGAGAAAAGCUAGCUAGUGAAUUAAGAAGGGAGAGAGUGGGUGGGGGAGCUUCUUAAAGAUUCCAAGAGAAAUAGACGCCAUGGGUAGGGUUUCCAUUACAGCAAUAAUGCCCAGGGAGGGAUGCCCCACAGCAAGGGUUGUACGGACGAGCCAACACCCCAGCUAGCUAUAGCUACACAUCAUUAUAAAGUAUACGGCCUAAGCCACUACUACUACUUGGUUUCUCGCGCGAUAUGUAAAAUGUAUACAACUUUAAAAAGGAGUGGAAUUAAUCUCAGUGGAAUUAAGAACUACUACGGGACUUAGUUUGAUCCUGUGGAUCAGAGCUCAAUUGCGGACCUUUUUAGUCAUUAAUUGGUAGUGCAAUCUCCUCUUCUUUACAUGGUCACUAUUUAAUUAGAAAUCACUUUAUGCGUUUAUAUAUAUAUAUAUAUAUAUAUAUAUAUAUAUAUAUAUAUAAGGGUUCGAGGCCACCUUCUACGUUCUAAUUAUGAUGUGACGUACGUACUUAUGUCAUGCAAAUAGUGUUUAUAAGUGAUGAAGUAUAAAGGAUUAGCUUUUAAUUAAGGCUUGAAGGAAAUAUUAGACAUAAAUACUGAACCGUUUAUGUAGAUCAGAAAAAUAUUACAAGUGUUGGUAUUUGAUCCAUCAAAUAAUUAAGAAAAUAUGUGUUUGAAAUAGUAUGAAUUAUUUGGUAUGUCUAUAAAGUGUAUUUUAAUCGUUUCAGCAAAAAAGAAAAAAAAGAAAAGAGCUUUUCAGUGCUAUAGAAGAAUAUGAGAAUGAAGGUAAGUAUUCACGUUUGUAUGCGAAUAAUUGGGAAAUCGUUGACGAAUUUAUUAAGAGAAAUGCUGAUGUAAAAUUCCUAUAAUCUGCUGGUGUGUUCGACUGCGUCUUCUCUCUCUUAUUAGAUUAUCUUAAGAUUUAUUGAGAACUUAUGAAGUUGAGUAUGUGGACUCUUAUCUUAUUCUCUUUUUUAGGAUAGGAAGGACAUAAUCUUUUUUCUGUUUUGUUUGAUGUGAUUAUUAACUUCGAUUUUGUGUCUCUGAUUCAUUGACAACUUGGUGGUGCAACAAAUUUGGAAAAAAAAUUUGUAAAGAAAAGAAUUGAUGUCUGUGGUGCAAGAGGUGAAGCACCCUAUGGGACAAAUCGGACCCAAUAAUGAAGAAAUCCGUUAAUAAAUUUUCUUCUUUUUUUUUUUUUAGAUGCGAUACGGCGUAAUUGUACUUCCACAAACAUUAUACUCCCUUUUUUGUUGUAAAAUUCUCUCCUCCUUCGCCUAUAUUUUUUUUUUUUUUCCCUACAAAGGGUUUUUCCACGUAAAUCCUUAUGCCCCAUUUUAGAUUACUAUUUUUUGUGGUUUGUCUACUUUCAGAUCGUCAUUUUUCGUUUUUGUUUGUGCGCUCGCUUCGUUGUAACAGUUUUGACGGUUGUUCUUGUAGUAUUUCUAUUAUGUUUUGUAACCUACUUUCUUUCCAUGCAUAAUAAGGAAUCCUCCUAUGUUUUAAUUUCAAAAAAAAAAAGAAGCAUGAAUCUUUCCUGUUCUUAUAUUGAUAGAAAGCUUGUGUACUAGAACCUCCUCUUUUAACUCGCAUGAAGCCAACCUCACAUUUUCUAAAGGUCGCAUGCAAAUUAAUGUGCCAUUUUGUUGUGGCAUGAAGAAAGUCUCGCUAGUAGUUCAUUCACACCGUGUGAUGGUUGUUUGUCUGACCAGCUGAUGUUUGAAGUUAGGUCAGAUUCACAAUAUGAAAGAAUCUACUUAGCCAAAUGCAUGUUAAGUGAAUAAUAUAUAUAUAUAUAUAUAUAUAUAUAUAGAGAGAGAGAGAGAGAGAGAGAGAGAGAGAGCUUCAUUUAUUAUUUUAGAAAUAAACUCAACUAAAAAUGUGAUGCAACUAAGAUUCAAACUUGGAACCUCGAUCGAAUACCAAUCAUCAAGCCUUUAGCCAAUUCACUGAGUAUGGUUGGUGAAUAAUAUUAUGGGGCAAUAAUGAGAAGUUCUUGAUAUCUGAGUUUGGCAUGCAGUUUGAAUGGUUUGGAGUGUGCCAAAGCUAGCAAAUAUUAGUAGGCUACAAAUAGAGACAAUUAUCAUUAAUAGAUUGGACAUGGCUUAUAAAUUACUUGAUUUUGGUGUGCCAAAGCUAGCAAAUGUUAGUAGGCUGCAAAUAGAGACAAUUAUCAUUAAUAGAUUGGACAUGGCUUAUAAAUUACUUGAUUUUGGUCUCUUCGUUAGUAGUAUGCGGAGAAAAAACUAACCAAACUUAUUAUGUCAUGCUUAAUUAAAAAAAUUUAAUCAAGUAUCACAAGGGUCAGCCACUAAAAAUAUGUACAGUAAUCUAUUGAAGCUUGAUUAAAAAAAAAAAAAAAACUUAAUUUUAAAUCUGUGUGGCUUUGGCAAAUCUUUUUUUUUUUUGAGAGAGAUAGGAAGCACGCUAUCCGCUUCGUUUAUUUCAUUUAAAAAUAAGCUUAGCUGAAAAUAUGAAUCAACUAGGAUUCAAACUUGGAACCUCGGGUAUCAACCACAUCAAGACUUUUGCCACUUGCUCUAGGGACGGUCGGUGGCUUUGG